rnacentral:lncRNA from 1 species
CAUCAACUUUUGUUAUCAAGAUUGAAUCUUCAAUUUGACUUCCUUGAUAAAUCAUAGGAAACUUAUUUCAGUUUCUCUAUCAAAAAUAACUUUUUCCAAUUACUUAAAUUGUGAUAUAAAAUGGUCCUGAUAUUUGAAAUUUUAUAGUUUAUUUAAGAAUAACAAUAGAUAGACUUCAAAAAGAAACUUCAACCAAAGGCUGGUCAAAUUGUGCAGUCAAGUGUAAUAAUUUUUUCUCCAAAGGCUGCUCAAAUUGUGCAGUCAAAUGUAAUAAUUUAUUCUCUUUUCUGGCACAAUUUCAUUUGCUAUCAAAACCCAUCAAAUUUCCACAAGACACAUCACUAUAUAAUUAGACCAAAGCCUCUUCAAAUUUUGCUUUUCAGUGUCAAAUGUAAUCAUUUUGUCUCUUUUUUGGCACAAUUUCAUUGCCUACCAAAACCCCAUCAAUUUUUAAGAGAAAGACAGUUGUACUUUUAUAUAUAUAUAUUACUCCUAUAUAUAUUACUCAUACAACACAAAUUUAUUACGCUUCCAUUGAAGAAAAACUUUUGCUCCCUUUCUUAGGUAUUUUUUUCCUCUUUUCAUGUUUUCCCUCUUCCCAUUUUCAAAUUUUGUUGCAGAUUUUGCUUCUCACCAAAGGAAGUAGGUAUUUUUUUCCUCUUUUCAUGUUUUCCCUCUUCCCAUUUUCAAAUUUUGUUGCAGAUUUUGCUUCUCACCAAAGGAAGAAACCAAAAUGGACAAAAUUACAGUUAUUAUUUUCACUUAAAAUUCCAAUUUUAUUAGUUAGCAGACAGAUUUGGGGCUAUUUAUUAUAUUUUCUAAUCUUUCAGUAAGUUAGGGAUAAUUAUGUUCUUGCAUGUUCUGAAUUUCAUUACAAAUAUUCAUAUUCUAUUUUCAUUACAUUUUCUGACUUUUACUAUCUGGAGGGAAAUUAUGUUGUUGCAUGUUCCUAAUUUAAUUUCCCUUAUUCAUGCAACCACAAAAAAGAAAGAACUUUGACUCAAUAGUCAUGCUAUCAUGCAGAUACUACUGUUUGGUUAAAUAUAUUUCGUACAAACAUGGUACUAAGAUUGAACAUCGACCGAAUAGAAUUAGCAACACGAGAUUGGAUUUGCAAAAUUCAAAUUGUGGAAAUUGGACGCCCGCGAAAAAGUCUUGACAAGAAAUGUAGAUUCCAAAUUUUCAUUUUGGAAGAUGAAGAGGUGAGCGGAUUAUAUUUUAGCUUAUCAGUAUUCUUCUUCUUCUUUUUACCUCAUAUGAACAUUUUCCCUUCCUUUUACUGUUGGUCAGUAGUUACAGUUAAUCUCAGCUUACUUACUCUCACCUUUCUAUAACUCAUACUUUCAGGAAUGCCAGAUUAAGGCACUUCUGUAUGCCGAUGAAAUUGAGCAGUAUGCAGUAUGAAAUUGACUAGCUUGAUUACUUCAGAGUUAGGAUAAUAUUUAUCACAAAGUAUCCAAAAAGCUUCUAUUGAUCAAAAGUUCAUGAUUUCUUUAAAGCUUCUCAUGCAAUAGGAGUUGUACACUACAUUACUGAUCAUUUAACAAUAGCAUUAAGCUUCUCAUGAAAUUGCCGAUGAAUAUAUGAUCGUAGCCUUUGGACAUCAAUUGCGUCAGCCUCAUUCCCCCAUGUAUUGUUCUUUUUGAAAUUUCCAUUUGUUGUUUUCCACUUUCUGUACUAAAAAUGUCCCACUUUGGAGGCUACUAUUUAAAUUGUUUUGCUAUGUUUUGCCAUAUUUUCAGUUUCUCACAAGCUUCAAACUGUCUAAUUACAGGAACUCCCUCACUCCAUUUUGUGACUUUUGCUUAAUAGGGAGAAUACAAUGAAUCGGUCUCCCUAUGCUAUGGCUUUUUGAAUGAAGAAGAUUAGCUACUAAGAAGCAAACUCCGGCGUCCUCUACAUAUGAUAACAAUGACAUGCUAAUCUUAUAUACCAAAAAUGAAACAUCUGCUAUAUUAUUUUGGUUCUACAAUAUUAGUUAGUAUUUGCAGAUCGUUGAAGUCGGCAUCAUACUGAUGUCUGUUGUACAUAUUCUCAAAAUAUAUCUAAUAGUAUAUAACAUAUCAUAUUAUCCAUCUUCUGCAAAAGCCUUAAUAUUUAUAUUUUUACGCGCAUAGUAUUUGGACUAUUGGGCCCGUGCUUGCCACGGGCCUCCCCACCUAGUAUAUAUAUAUAGUAUGAUAAACACAAAAAUGAUGCAUACUUGUAAAUAAACAAUAAAGUUUCAUUUUUUUGUGGUCCUAUUUUGUGGAGCAUGUGUUAAAUACGUGAGUAUCUGACAAGAGCUAAUAGAUAAGAAUGAAGAAAGACCAAUACAUAAUAAUAACAUUUUCUGCGAUAUAUUAAUUUUUUUUUUCAUUUAGUAUUUGAUAUCACAUUGAAAUCAAAUUAAAUUUGAAUUCAUAUAUUGUACCAUAUAUGUCGAUAUGUUGACCAUGACAGUAUUGAACAAGAGCCAGAAAAUUAUUUGGUGUUAAGUCUUUCUUUAGUUACCAUAUUGGACAAGAAAUUUGUAAUAAUGACCGAGAGAAAGAGAGUUUAAUUUGCUUCGCACUAUAUUUGGAAUUGAUGUGAAAAUAAAUUUUUCACAAGGAACAAUAUUUUAUAGAGGAAAAACAAUAUAGGUUUAUAUUUUGAUCAAGAUAAUUAGUUGUGUGAUGGAGAUUAACCCGUGGUACAAACCACUCAUUUGUUUAUAGAGGAAACAUAUAGCAUAAUAUCAUGGUUUUUUUUUUUGUUAGUAUCCGGAUCUGCAAGAUAAGUUGUAUGAAUUUGUGAGAUUCAGAUUAACCAAUGACAAAACCACCCUUGUUCAAAGUAUCAUUUGAGACUUCUUCGUUGAAACUACAUGACUUGGAAGUGGAUGUACAAUAAUUCAUUUGAGGGACUUUUUAAGAUAUUAAUGAAUAUCGAGAUGAUGAAAUAAUAAUCUUUUUAGUUUAGUCUGAAUAAAGAAUCAUUGUUUAUACUUUUAUUAUGUUAGAUUAGCUAAAAUAAUUUCUUACUCUUAAAAUUAACAAUGGACUUACCAUAAAACUUCUCCAUCACUAUAAUUUGAAAUAAAACAACAAAAAUAUAUAAAGAGUUUCUACAUGUAAUUAUGUGUUGUUCAUUACUACAAUGAUAUAGAUAAAAUAAUUUCGAUAAACAAGCUCAUAAUUUGAGUAGAAUAAUAAGGAGUAUACAUUUGAAGGAUAUGUUAGCCCUUUUGUCAAUAUUAAGUUAGAGCUUCUCUCUCUAAGAAUAUUUUGUUGUCCACUUUAAUUUGUUAAAUUUUUUAUGUAUAUACAUCUUGUGCGUUUACUUUCUUAUUAUUUUUUCUGAUAAAAGAUUCUGACUCCACCACAUCCAUAAUUGAAAAUUAAUUUAUAUAAUGUCAUCUAGAAAAAAAAUUAAAAUCUAUGUAUGAAGUUUGAAUUUAGCCUCCCAAUUUAAGUGAACCGAUCUUGCGGUAAAUAUUAGUUAAACUCAAAAACAAAAAAUGGUACUUCUAAGAUUCCUCUUUUCUUUCCAAUUAUUUUUACUUUCUCUAUCUUCGUUUUCCCUCUCGAAGAAAUAAUUAUUUAGAUUCUUUUUAACUAUUUUAUGGAGGCAUAAGCAUAUAUUGAAUCAACAAUAAGAAUUAUGAUGGAGCGAUAAUUAUCUAUUUAUUUUUAAUUAGAGAGGUGUAGUGUUUGAGUCCCGUUGGAUGUGAAAUCACUUUUGAUAGAAAGCUCUUUAUCCAUAAUGUGAAAUUUGUAGAGAAUAGCAGAAGAAAAGUAUAAUCAAGGAACCUUCUGCUAGCCCAAGAUCGUUUACUAAGAUCGGAAGAUUCAACUAAAGAAGAGGAAGCUAGAAAGUUAAAGGAAAAAUAUCUGGAUAUUUCUUUAAGAUAAUUAUUCUAGAUAUUACACUAGACUAUUCUAGAAACUAUACUAGAAAAAUCUAUGAUAUUCCAAAAAUCAACUUUAUCAUUUUUCACAUUUCUACAUGAAUUCAACUUUAAUCGAACGCUAAUAUAAUUACUAGACACCGAAUAGAAAAUAAAAAAAAUAAUUAAAGAAGAAAAAAGAAAGCAUAUAUUCAAUUGCAUAAUCCAAACACUCAACUAACAUUGUCAUACUCACACCAAACUGAAGAAAAGGAUCAAUGCACCAUUUUGAAUUGAUGUAGAAGAAGUACAUAUUUCUAUUUUACAAUUAUUAUUUUAUAAUCCAAAUAAGGUGUGUGAAUUUUUGCGAUGGAAAAUCCACAACUGUACUAUUGCCAUGAUCUUAUCUGUUGUAGCACCUCAGAAGAAUUUCAACCAUUAAAAUUUUGAACAUGUUUUUUUACAUCUAGAAAUAUUAGCUUUAAAUUACAUAUGAUAAGUCAUUUUCAAAGUACAUUUAAUUCAGUUAGGAAUUGAAUGUGUUAAUGCAAAAUAAAGUCUCUAUUGUAUCAUGAGUUAAAAAAUUGUGAUGAAUGAUUUUAAGUUAAUAGAAUUUGUAAUUUGAUUUUAAAGUUUUAAAUAUUAGGACUUUUACUACCGUCCAAAUAAGAAAAGAUUUUAAUAAACAAAAUAUUAGUUUUGAACAAGUUCAUGUGUCUGAAUGAAACUCUAUGAAGUACAAGGACCGAAAUAACAAACAAAAAAAUAAAAUAAAAAUCUCUCAAGUCAUUCUGUUAUUUCAAGUAUUUAGAUUUAGAAAAUGCAAAUAUUGAUGGUCAAACAAAUACAAAAAAACCAGAAUAUUCACUAAGAAAAAAAAUUAAAAUAUAAAGAAGUGAACACAUGAUUUAGUUUUUAUGUUAUAUCAACUGGUUAUAAUAAUCUAAAAUAAUAUAUUUUCAUUUCCUCUAUAAAUAGUUGAGUGUGAGAACCCUUUUUUUCACAUCAAACAACUAACAAGUACCAUAUAGUAUAAUUAAUUAUGGCAUUGAAAGUUGUAUUUGUUUUGUUCCUUGCAAUACUUCUGUUUACAGAGUGCCAUGGUGACCCUUUUUUGUAUAAAACACUGUACUAAUGUGUGCCAUGGUAACCCUUCGUGCUUUACUAAGUGCUCUCUCGUAUGCGAAAUGGAUGUUGAAUGUUCUCUCGGCCAUUUUGAAAAUCGCGGUUGUAAUGUUGGAUGUUCUCUCGGCCAUUGUUACAAAUUUCUCAUCAAAUAUGGUAACUAAUUACUCCUUGAAUUGUCUUGCUAUACUUGUUUUGUUUGAAUACAUUUAUUUUUUGAUAUAUAUGUAUAUAAUCUUGCCUUACACAAAGACUAUGUAAUUUUGCCGAUAAGAACAAGUUUGGAAGUUGCAUGACAAGUUGCAAUGAGAACUAUUGCAUUAGCAAUACUCCUCUAAAGAAAGCUUAAAAAGAAGGAUUUAAGAAUUAUUGCCACAAAAGUAUGUGUCUAUAUAUGACACUAAAUAAUUAAUUUGUAGUUGUAAUCUCUUUUUAAAAUUAUGUAAUUGGACUAUAUUGAAUAAAACUUUUGUGCUUUAAUGUUCCUAUGUUAGUUUUAUUAAGUUAUGUUACGAAUAAAAUGUUUAUCGUUAUGUUUGUCCUAAUAUUUAGGAAGUAGUUUUAGUGUGGGUUGUUAUCAAGUUUUUAGAAGAAAAUCUUGGUGUAGUAGUUCCUAAUUUCUAGCUUCAGUCUUUCAUAUGUAUUUGUUUUAUAAAAGGACUGUUGUAGCAGUGAAAAAAACAACGUUAAGACAUAUGGGACUCAAUGAAAAAGAAAUAUCAAGACACUGCUAGAGUGAAGUGCGCACAACUUCAAGCCUUGAGAAGGGAUUUGCACUGCUUGAGUGAAGCGCGCACAACUUCAAGCUUUGAGAAGGAAUUUUGAGACUUUCCAGAUGAAGGAAGGAGAGUCUAUAAUGAGUUACUGCGCUAGAACAAUGAAGAUUAGCAACAAAAUGCAAUUUCAUGGUGAGAAGAUGAACGAUGCCACAAUUGUUGAGAAAAUAUUGCACUCGUUGAUGCCGAAGUAUGAUUAUAUCAUUUGCUCCAUAGAUGAGUCAAAAUAUAUAGAUGAUUUAUCACUUGAUGAAUUGCAAAGCUCCUUUUGGUGCAUGAACAAAUGAUGAAUCGCAAUUCAACUUCUGAUGAGCAGACCUUGAAGAAUUCUACUUUUAUUUCUUCCAAUGCUAGAGGAAUGGGUAGAAGAAGAGGAUAUCGAGGAAACAGAGAUGGAGGCAGCAAAGAUGGCAACGUGAAUUUUAGAACCAAUGGUGACUACGACAAAAGCAGAGGGAGAGAUUUUGACAAAUCUAAUGUAGAAUGUUAUCGUUGCCAUAAAUUUGGUCAUUAUCGUUCUGAAUGUUGUACUAGGCUACCUAAUGAGAAGGAAGAAAAGUCAAAUUUUGUUGAGAAUAAGGAAGGAGAAACCUUAUUAAUGCCAAUUCAUGCGGAAACACGAGCCAAAUGAGCAAGUUAUUUGGUAUGUGGAUACCGACUGUAGUAACCAUAUGACUGGAAGUAAGUCUUCUUUUACUAAUUUUUAGCUUUGAUGAUCUCUCAACAGUGAAUGUGAUGGGAAAUGGUAAUUUCAAUUUUAUAAUAAAAAAUGGGUGUGGAGAAAUCAUAUCUAAUGUGUUUUAUGUUCCAACUUUGAAAAACAAUUUAUUAAGUGUUGGUCAGCUGCUAGAAAAAGGGUAUGUCAUCACGUUAAGGAAUGAUACAUGUGAAAUUUCUGAUCCCUCCAUAUGAGUUAUUGCAUUUGUGAAAAUGAGUCAAAACAAUUUUUUUCCUUUGAAGAUUGAAAAUUUUCAAUCUUGCUAUAUGACGGAAAUGAAAAAUCCUUAAUGGUUGUGGCAUUUUCGAUAUGGUCAGUUGAACUUUGGUUGCUUGAAGACCCUUCAAAGGAUAUAUGAGUUAUUGCUUUUGUGAAAAUGAGUCAAAACAAUUUUUUUCCUUUGAAGAUUGAAAAUUUUCAAUCUUGCUAUAUGACGGAAAUGAAAAAUCCUUAAUGGUUGUGGCAUUUUCGAUAUGGUCAGUUGAACUUUGGUUGCUUGAAGACCCUUCAAAGGAAGAGUAUGGUGACGGAGCUUCAUGAAAUUGUUGUUCCGUCUCAAGUUUGUGAAGAAUGUGUUAUUGGAAAACAACAUCGUUCUUAGUUUCCUAAAAGUAAGUCAUGGAGAGCGAAUAAGUGUAACACUACAAAAAUUUCUAAGCUAAGACCCAAAUUAUUCUAUAACACCCCGAACUUUGAGAAAUGCUAAAGAGGGCUAACGGGCAAGUCCACGAACCUAAAAUGGACUAUGGACCCUUCGUGGAACUCUAAACGGUCCAUUUAGGGGUCUUCGACCUGUUUAGAGCAAGGUGCCCAACCGUCCAGGGAUGCCAAGUGGUGAGUCACCUGGACGCAACCCUAGACAGUCUGUGGUGGCUUGUACGAUCCGUUUAGGGGUCCGUACAGGUCACCCAUCAGAUUUUAAGUUUAAGUUAAACUUCAAACGACCAUAUCUCUCAUCACAUAACGUGUUAGGUGGCUCAUAACUUAUCAAAUUAAAGUUCUUUGAGUCCUCUUUCCGACGGCACCAAGUUUGCCUCAUUUCAAGUUCAGAGUAAAAAGUUAUGCCCAUUUUAGUAAGGCCCUGUCAGAUAGUUAAAGUUUCACAGAUGGCUAUACAACUGUGAAGUUUUUCACGGACCAUGGAGUCCUAAACGGUUUGUGAAGCCUCCCUUUUAAGGCACCUCAUCAGUUGUUUUAGUUGGGGUCAUUUUAGUCUUUCCCCUAUGUGUGUGGUACUUAAACUACGUCAUUUUAUUCUCUAUUCUAAGCCUAAACCACGAUGUUUUACGCCUAGUUAAGGGCUUAGAAAGUUUUAAUCAAAUAUUUAAGGUUCCAAGAGGAUUAAAGCUAGGGUUGUGAGCGUUCUUCGAGUUUCGUCGAUUUUACCCAGAACUUUGUUCUUCCAUGUAUGUAAGGGUAUUAUAGUUUUGGAAUAAUUCGUCCUCACGCCCUACAUCUACUUUCAAAUCAGUAAAAGAGUAAUCCAGGGUUCUAUCCUUAGAUUUGAGUAUUAUAUUUGAGUAUUCUUGAGAUGGGUUGACAUUAUGUGUCACGCCCCGAGCCUACACCCUGGGCGGGACCGGCACUCGGAGACCAUUGCUGGCCCCAAGCGAUCCCUUGGCCUGGCUUUCUUAACUCAGCGGAAACUUAACUCAACAGAAUAACUCAAUGCCAUGCAAAGACAUAAAAUACUUAACUGAUGAAAUCUAGCCAAAAAGGCAACUCGAGUCUCAAAAUAGAAUAUUUACAUAUAUACAUAGAUAAGAGACUCAAAACUAACUGACUGACUAUCUAUGAAGCCNNNNNNNNNNNNNNNNNNNNNNNNNNNNNNNNNNNNNNNNNNNNNNNNNNNNNNNNNNNNNNNNNNNNNNNNNNNNNNNNNNNNNNNNNNNNNNNNNNNNNNNNNNNNNNNNNNNNNNNNNNNNNNNNNNNNNNNNNNNNNNNNNNNNNNNNNNNNNNNNNNNNNNNNNNNNNNNNNNNNNNNNNNNNNNNNNNNNNNNNNNNNNNNNNNNNNNNNNNNNNNNNNNNNNNNNNNNNNNNNNNNNNNNNNNNNNNNNNNNNNNNNNNNNNNNNNNNNNNNNNNNNNNNNNNNNNNNNNNNNNNNNNNNNNNNNNNNNNNNNNNNNNNNNNNNNNNNNNNNNNNNNNNNNNNNNNNNNNNNNNNNNNNNNNNNNNNNNNNNNNNNNNNNNNNNNNNNNNNNNNNNNNNNNNNNNNNNNNNNNNNNNNNNNNNNNNNNNNNNNNNNNNNNNNNNNNNNNNNNNNNNNNNNNNNNNNNNNNNNNNNNNNNNNNNNNNNNNNNNNNNNNNNNNNNNNNNNNNNNNNNNNNNNNNNNNNNNNNNNNNNNNNNNNNNNNNNNNNNNNNNNNNNNNNNNNNNNNNNNNNNNNNNNNNNNNNNNNNNNNNNNNNNNNNNNNNNNNNNNNNNNNNNNNNNNNNNNNNNNNNNNNNNNNNNNNNNNNNNNNNNNNNNNNNNNNNNNNNNNNNNNNNNNNNNNNNNNNNNNNNNNNNNNNNNNNNNNNNNNNNNNNNNNNNNNNNNNNNNNNNNNNNNNNNNNNNNNNNNNNNNNNNNNNNNNNNNNNNNNNNNNNNNNNNNNNNNNNNNNNNNNNNNNNNNNNNNNNNNNNNNNNNNNNNNNNNNNNNNNNNNNNNNNNNNNNNNNNNNNNNNNNNNNNNNNNNNNNNNNNNNNNNNNNNNNNNNNNNNNNNNNNNNNNNNNNNNNNNNNNNNNNNNNNNNNNNNNNNNNNNNNNNNNNNNNNNNNNNNNNNNNNNNNNNNNNNNNNNNNNNNNNNNNNNNNNNNNNNNNNNNNNNNNNNNNNNNNNNNNNNNNNNNNNNNNNNNNNNNNNNNNNNNNNNNNNNNNNNNNNNNNNNNNNNNNNNNNNNNNNNNNNNNNNNNNNNNNNNNNNNNNNNNNNNNNNNNNNNNNNNNNNNNNNNNNNNNNNNNNNNNNNNNNNNNNNNNNNNNNNNNNNNNNNNNNNNNNNNNNNNNNNNNNNNNNNNNNNNNNNNNNNNNNNNNNNNNNNNNNNNNNNNNNNNNNNNNNNNNNNNNNNNNNNNNNNNNNNNNNNNNNNNNNNNNNNNNNNNNNNNNNNNNNNNNNNNNNNNNNNNNNNNNNNNNNNNNNNNNNNNNNNNNNNNNNNNNNNNNNNNNNNNNNNNNNNNNNNNNNNNNNNNNNNNNNNNNNNNNNNNNNNNNNNNNNNNNNNNNNNNNNNNNNNNNNNNNNNNNNNNNNNNNNNNNNNNNNNNNNNNNNNNNNNNNNNNNNNNNNNNNNNNNNNNNNNNNNNNNNNNNNNNNNNNNNNNNNNNNNNNNNNNNNNNNNNNNNNNNNNNNNNNNNNNNNNNNNNNNNNNNNNNNNNNNNNNNNNNNNNNNNNNNNNNNNNNNNNNNNNNNNNNNNNNNNNNNNNNNNNNNNNNNNNNNNNNNNNNNNNNNNNNNNNNNNNNNNNNNNNNNNNNNNNNNNNNNNNNNNNNNNNNNNNNNNNNNNNNNNNNNNNNNNNNNNNNNNNNNNNNNNNNNNNNNNNNNGGGGAAAAAAUGGGAAAACUUAGCGCUCUUGGCGCUCUGAGAGGCGCGGAGCGCCAAGCCAAAAACUUCAGAGAUGGCCUGCUGGCGCUCUGAGUGGCGUGCCGCCCCAAGGGCUGGGCUUCAGAGCCCCUCUUGGGGCGCGAUGACAGGCGCAACUCGCCAAUCCUCUUGCCCAGAAACCCGACUUUUCUCCCUCUUUUCUUCAACUCUAAACCAUCCUUACUUCAAAGGAUCUAACCCCAAACACUAAGGAUCAUCAUAUCCCUCAACAUACCAUGGAUUACAACUCAAAACACAACCCAAUCAUGUCUCACAACCAACAACAACUUCAACAACACAACUAACAACNNNNNNNNNNNNNNNNNNNNNNNNNNNNNNNNNNNNNNNNNNNNNNNNNNNNNNNNNNNNNNNNNNNNNNNNNNNNNNNNNNNNNNNNNNNNNNNNNNNNNNNNNNNNNNNNNNNNNNNNNNNNNNNNNNNNNNNNNNNNNNNNNNNNNNNNNUGUUCAAAGUUGGCCAAAAAUUCACAUUUUUCCAUACUUAGCCAAAAUUUCCAAAACUUUAAAAUUCUUUCCAAAAAUGAAAAUUUCCAAUUCUAAGCCUCUUCAAUUAUUUCACAUUACUGGAUGUUACAUUAUGUUUUGAGUUCUUGAUUAUUGAAUUCCUAUUUCUAAUCAUUGAAUUGUCGUACAUUGUGCAUUGCGAUUAUUGAGUUUAUUGUUCAUGUUUAUUUUUCUAGCAUGAACCCUGUUUUUGAGUAUUCAUUGAGUUUUUAUUGAGAAUCUUUUAAAUAAAAACAUAAUGGUUUCAACUGAGUAUUGAGAAAGUAAAGAGGAGUUUGAGAAAGAGUUUAACCAAGAUUUAAGCAAGAGUAUAAGGGAACUAUCCCAAAUGUUUCAUUUUACAUGAAGAAAGAGAAUAAGUUUUUUUUGAGAAAACUUAUUGUUUCACUAUAUUAAAAAUUUCAUACCAGAUUUCAAGUCAGAUACACCUAGAUACAUGUAUUAUUGCUACAAGAUACACUAAAAUAAGGAGAGAGGCGAGCUAGUGAAGGAGAGACGCGAGCGAGAUAGGAAGGAGGCAAGUGAAAUACCUUGAUACAUGUAUCUGGGAUACCAAAUAUAGAGAGAGUGACGAGCGAGAGAAAGGAGAGUGGCGAGUGAGACGAAGACACUACAACAAAAACAACUUUUAGCGGCAAUAAAUAACAUAUUAAUAAAGAGUGUUAAAAGUAUUUACCGACAUUAGUUAAGUGCCAUUAGAUCCAGUGUCGCUAAAGACUUUAGCUAAGGACAUAUACAAAGAGUGUUAAUUGCCGCUAAACAUACAUAUUUAGUGGCAAUUGAUGAGCUAUUGUCGUUAAUUAAUUGCCGCUAAAGAUAAUUUUUAAUGUAGUGAGAGAGAUGAAGGAGGGAGUCAGAUACAUGUGAAUCCACUUGGAUACAAUGUAUCUAGAACAAAUUACACCUAAUUCUGAUCCCAUGUAUCCGAGAUACAUGUAUCUCGACGUAUGUGGACGCGCCAGAUACAUGUAUCCAAAAUUUGGUAAGAUUCAUAAUAUUACAAACUAGCGUGUAUCUAAGUAAUCGACUCUUAAACUAGUGAAAUUUCUGUAAGUUACCCUAAAUUAACAAACAUACUUAGAGAAGAAAUAGGGUACAAUAUACAAAAAUAAAUAAAUUAAGAAUACAAAAAACUAGUUAAGAAGUUAUGGUUCUAUGGGUUCAUGUUAAAUAACAUUAGGGAAAACUAUCUUAUAAUUAGGCAUAAAAACUAUCUUAUUAGGCAUGCAUUCAUAUCAUAUAUAUUAAUUCUACUUAUACUUUCAAAUAAUUACGUAUUUCACCACUAAUUAAGAGUUGGUCUUAUCAAAUAUUGAAAAAGAUACAUCCAAAUACAUGUAUUUUUACUACUAGAUAUACUAAAAUAGGGAGAAAGGCGAGUGAGAUGGGGAGAGAAGCAAGAGAGAUAGUCAUGUGUCCUAGAUAGAUGUGAAUCAUACUAGAUAUAUGUGUCUAUAUGCAUCUGUGAUACCGAUACAUAGGAGAGUGGCAAGUGGGAUGGGGGAGGCGCAUGCGAGAUUUGUUAUGUAUCCCAGAUAUAUGCGAAUCCACUUAUAUACCGUAUAUCUAGAAUAAAUUACACAUAAUUUUGACCUCUUGUAUCACGAGAUACAUGUAGCUGGACGUAUUUAGAAUCACCAAAAUCUAGUAAAAUUUAUAAUAUUACAAACUAAAGUGUAUCUAAAUAAUUAGCUCGUAAACUAGUGAAAUCUAUGUAAGUUUCCAUAAUAUUAACCUGUUUAGCUUAUUUUUCAUUGAAUGGACCACUAAAAUUGAAACUUUUGUUGUUGAAUUGAACUCUUCCACAUAUUUGAUUUGUUUUUUACUUGUUGAGAGUGGACCACUGAUUCAUAUCAAUUUUGGUUCCACAGGAUUUAUGGACCAUCAAUCUUUUUUUGUGUUGGGUAGAGUAGAAUAUUCAAUAGGGGAGUUAAAAUAUAAAAAAGUUAAUAUAUAAUGUAGUAAAAAAUAUUUAAAAAAUAGUAUAUAAACAUAAUUUUUUUUUUGAUUUUACUUAUUUACACAAUGUAAUUUUCUAAUGAAGGGGUCUCAAAUGAAACCCUUUGGAUAAGGAUUACUCUGCUACUAAUUGAACAAGUGCAUUAACGAUAUAUUCUUGAUUUUUAGUGCCCUUUUUUUUUUUUAUCUGUAGUUGAUUCUCAAUUUUCUUAAAAUCAAAAUUAUGAUAUUUUAUAUUAUUAAUGAUCUUUGAUUCGUGGUUCAUGCUUAUUAUACCACAUAAACUCCUUCCUAGCCAAAAUUACUUGAAAUAUUUUACCGUAGUAAUUCAUAUGUAUUAUUUUCAUGACUAAAGUACGUUCAACGUAUUUAACAUAUUUUUCAUUGAAUGGACCACUAAAAUUGUAAGUGAUAAAUGAAAUUCGAAUUUUAUGGUUGAAUUAUAUUGGAUUAUUUGUAUAAAUAGGAUUUGUUUUCACUUGUAGAGAGUGGACCACUAAACUCAUUUUUGUUUGAAUCUUAUUUACCACAUGUAUUGGAGAUAUACAAUAGAAAUAUAUGUACCAUAAAAAUAUAUUGACCACACACAAAUUUACGGUAAAAUUUAAAAGGGGAAUUUUUACAAAUAGCCAUUAUAAUAAAUUUAAUUAUGCUUCUUAGCGAUAGUUUGCAGAUUUACGAGUUGUAGCUACAUUUUAAGCUGUCUCGUUUGUAUAAUUUGUGGAUUUGUAUAAUUUGCGGGUACAUUUGUAUAAUUCAGUUAUUUUUGUAUAAACUCGAAAUAACGAAUUUAUACAAUUACAAACAUCAGAAGUGUAAACAGUUAUACAAAUUAUAUUAUACAAAUUUUGAAUUAUACAAAAGUUAUACAAAUUAUAUUAUACAAAUUCCAAAUUAUACAAACGUGCGAAUUAUACAAAAUUUAAAAGCUGAGCCGCACAAUUAUAACUAACAGUAGGCCGCGAACUAUAAUUAAGACAAACUAUAGCUAUAUUAACUAAUUAACUAGUAUAUGUUUGCUUAUAUGCGUAAUUUUCCCUAUUUAAAAUGUUAUUCGGAGUUGAAGCCCAAUGGAUAUUAAUAAACAAAUCUCUUAAAUAAUUUAUUUUAAGAACUUAAAUCCUACAAUCAAUUAAUCUAACGAUCUCAUUAACUCAACUAAUGCCUAUUCAGGUCACAUAAGACUUUUUGAAUACAUAAAAAUAUAAGUAGUUUAAGUUUUGUGCAUCGUCGGUGUACAAAAGUUUCUACACCAUCAGUUACUUUUAAUGAGAUUUAGCCGUAGUAACUUACGUUAAUAUAAUAACCUUAAUUCAUGAAAAAAGAAAACCAACAAUUUACUUAAAAAAACAAAGAACAUCAACAUGUAGUUGAAUCAUACUUGGAUUCUAACCAAAAUUAUUUCCAUAAUUAAAUUGUUGUUUCCAAAGUUAAUUACAAUUACUAUGUUUAUCGUAGGUUUUUCACCUUUUUCUAUAGCUCAAGUAAUUCUUCACAGCAUCAAACUUUUUCACAACAUCAAACAUUGUCAAUCGGUAAGAAAUAAUUUUAAAAGUGUCAACCGAUUUUGAAACUUGACACGCUUCUUCUACUUAGUGAAUAUCGUCAUGCAAUUAGAACAAAUUUCACAUUUUUCUCAUUUAGAAACAUAAAAAAGGCCCUUUUAAACACAUAUUCACGAGCAAAAGAAUUUCAAUGCACUAAAAACAAGUGAACAUAGUCUCCCGAAAGGUGAAUAUUGUAUCUUAAAGUGUCUUCAUAUUGUCCCCAAUACUUAAGCUCUGCUCUUUAGAUUAUUGGGAAGGAGUUUAUUUAUUGAACUUUCGCUAAUAUUAAAUAUAUUUUACCGUAAACGUGUUGACAAUUUAUAUGAUCAGAUUUAUAAUUAAUUGUAAGCUAUCUUACAUUUAUAAUUGUAUUUUGAAAGAUUAAUGGAAAAGUUAAACGUAGAUGAGCAAAAUAUAGGAGUUGAAGUUCCCUGAGAAGAAAGUGACGUACUUUGGAAGAAAAUAAUUUUGGUUAGAAUCCAAGUCUGAUUCAACUACCUUGUUUAUUGUUUUUUUUUUUAGUAAAUGUAUUUUAUUAAAGUAAGUUACUAUGGUUAAAUCUCAUUAAAAGUAACUGAUGGUGUAGAAAAUUUUGUACAGUGACAAUGCACAAAACUUAAACUCUAAGAAUAUUUCUUGUUUUACCAAUUUACACGUAUAAUUUUCACAGAGAAGGACGAAUUGAACAGAAAUUCGUCGUCACACAAAGUCGCACAACAAAACAAAUUAUCUAGAUCUAAAUACAAUCUAAAAAUCUUUUAUUUUACACUCUAACGAAGGGUCUCAUCAAAUGACACCCCUCAGACAAGGAUGACUUUGUCACUAAAUGAAUAAAAAUCCCCCAUCACACAAAGUUGCACAACUAAUAUAUUAUCUAGAUCUAAAUACAAUCUAUUAAAAAACUUUUAUUUUACACUCUAACAAAGGGUCUCGAUCAUCAAAGUACACCUCUCAGAUGACAAGGACAACUCUAAUCCGUCACAAAAAAUCACACAACAAAUUAUCUAGAUCUAAAUACAAUUUAUAAAAAUCUUUUACUUUACACUCUAACGAAGGGUCUCAUCAAAGGACACCUCUCAGACGACAAGGACAACUCUGCCACUAAUUGCACAAGAAUCCCCCAUCACAAAAAAUCACACAACUAACUAAUACAAUCUAUAUAUGUUUUCCUCUAUAAAUAGUUCACCUCAUUUUCACAUCAACUCAAAUAACAAGGUCAUAUAAUAUAACUCACUAUUAACCCUAAUUUCUCAAUGGCAUUGAAAGUUGUGUUGUUGUUGUUCCUUGCCAUGUUUGUGUUGAUAGAGCAUAAUGCUAUGGCCCAAGACAUUGACCCAAAAUGUGCCGCAUUUUGUGUAAUAAGGUGCAAUACAAGGCCGAUAUGCCUAUCUAGGUGCCUUGCCAAGUGCUAUAUAACUACAAUCACAUAUGAAUCAGUUGAUACUGAGCCUGCAAAUCGUGGUUGUAACGUUGGAUGUUCUCUUGGUCAUUGCUUCAAGUUUCUCAUCAACUAUGGUACCUCUUCUUGUCUUUUUUUUUCUUCAUACUGAUAUGCAAAAAAAGUUACAAUUUGAGUUUGACAUCCCAAAUAGAUAUCAUGGAGAGGUUAUAUAUGAUCUUAGCCGGCUUAAUUAUGACAUAUUAAUCUUUAAUUAUACAUAUCAACUUAUAGUAGAAAAUGUCUGGAGUUUCACGGUUUAUUAAAACAAAUGUGUAUAGAUUAAUGAAAAGACAUAUUUUACGCGGUUAACUUAAUUGAAGUUCUGUGUUAAAUGUUUUAAGCUUUUCUUUCUCAUAUAUGAAAAGUACUAAUUCUUUUUAUUAUUUUAUAUUAUUUCUGCAGAUAAUGAGAAGUUUGGAAGUUGCAUGACAAGCUGCAAUGAGAACUAUUGCAUUGGUGGCAAUAUUGCUUUAGAGAAAGCUUAAGAAAAAGCAUUAAGAAAUUAUGACCACAAAGUUUAUUUGUGUCAUCUAUGACACUAUGCUACUAAAUACUUCUGUGGUUAUAAUUUUCUAAAAUAUGUAUUUGUGUUUUGUAUUGAAUAAAACUUUUGUGCUUUAAUAUUCCUAUAUAUUAAAGCACGAGAGAAGAUUAAUGUUGUUGCAUAUCAUUUUGUUAUUUAUCGUAUUGUUUUAAUUAUGAUAAUAAUUUUUAAAUAAAUUGUAUCAUUUUUUACUUCAUUACAUAAUGUGAUAUAUCAGUUGAAGAAACCUUACCCCUGUGCAAGAACCAGGUUCUUGUACGUUUACCUAAGUAAAGACACAACACAAUAAAACAAAGAUUUUAUCGUGGAAACCUUCCUCCCUCAAGGAAGGAAAAAACCACACCACAAUUUAUUAACUUCAAACUCAAUUCAAGAUUACAACUUAAUAAUCAAUGAACUAACUCUACUCUCCAAGAAGUCAAACUCGCUUCUUGUUACAUGCAACUCUCUCAAAUUCAACACUCCAAGAAGUCAAACUCGCUUCUUGUUACAAAUUAUCACAACAACUCUCUCUACUCUACUCAUAGAAAGAAUCAACUCUAGUACUUUUUUCUUCCCCUUUGUUGAUCUAUUCCACAAUUUGAAUAAUUAUCUUGAUUUGUGAAUUGGCAAAGACAGUUUUUUCUUUCUUCAGCCUUGUCCUUUUAUAGAGAUUGAUUUGAGCUUGACCAAUUUUAAUUUUUAUUAUUUUUCUUUUUUUAACUUGAAUUACUGAUUAGGAACAAACUUUUCCUGUUUUAUAUCUGAAUUACUGUUUUAGGAACAAAGUUUGGUACGUGUUAUGUGACUUUGGUUCAUGUUGUCACUUGUCAUCAUCAAAAGCAUUUCAAGAGAUUUGCCAAACCAUCGUCAAUAAUUUAAAAGACAAGCCUAAAAAACUAUGAUAUGAGAUAGAACUAUUAUAAAAACAUAAUAUCACACGUAGACUAUGGUAUGCUUGUCCUAUUCACUAUUUUGAUCAUGCUUACUCAGAAAUUAUGGCCAUAAAGUACGUUAAAGGAAAAAUUACAUAAAAUGUCCUAAUUGCAGAUGCUGCUGCUGCUGCUUCUUCUUCUUCCUUUUUUAAAAUAUAAAAUAAAAUAAGAUAAAAUUUGGCGUAUCGCAAGUGUCAUUUUUUUAGUGAAUUAUAUAUCAAAAAACUCGAAACAUAUAGUCACGAGAUACUUGAUGACAAAAUACAAAUAAAUGUUCCAAGAGGGAGUCCUUACAUGCAUGCAUACUUUAUAUUUUAUUUUUUUGAUCAAAAGAUGCAUGCAUACUUACAAAUGAACAAUACAGUUUCAUUUGUUGUGGUCCUAAUUAGAUUAAAUUUCAAUUCAAACAUUAUAUUUUUUUAUUUUCAGAUGCUCAAAUUCAAUCUAACUAAAGGUGGAGAAAUUUCAUUCCACCCAUGACCCUUUAAAGAGUGUUAAGUUAAACUCCUUCAUUCAAAAAUUAUACUAUGUAAAUUGUUAAAUCCAGGCGAGAAGGCACAAGUACCCCCUAGAUUAUGACCGAAAUCCCAGAGACACACCUUAAUUAAACUAAGGUCAUAUUACCUCCCUGAACUCAUUUUAUAUAUAAUAUUGUACACCUUUUGGGUUAUGUAGCACACCCCGUGACUCCACGCAGUUGAGGCGCGUGGGAUAUAUUUGAAUGCCACGUAAGCCAAAAAGAUGUACAAAAUUACAAAAAAAUGAGUUCAGGAGGGUAAUAGGACCUUAGUUUAGUUAAGGUGUAUCUCUGAGAUUUGGGUCAUAGUCUAGGGAGGUACUUCUACCUUUUCCCUUAAAUCCAGAUAAGUUAUAUGAAUUUGUAUGAUGGAUAAUCCAUGUUCAACUAGUGGCGGAGUCACCCUUGUCGUAGAGGUGUCAUUUAAGACCCCUUUAAUAUUGAAGCUACAUUGCACAUAUGUAAAAUAUCUCUUCUUCUUUUUUUAGGUACAUACAGUAUAUAUAUUAAAGAGAAAAUGCUUUAACUCCCCCUCAAACUUGUACCGAAAAGUCAGUUACACAUUUCAACUAUUAUGACGACCUAUAUAUUACACACAUUUAUUAUUAAAAAAUGAAUUUAUUUACUAUCUGCGAUGUAUAGUACCACUCUCAUGAUGAAAAAUGUAUCAAACUUGGGCCACAUUAAUGCCAUCUCAUUGCCACAUCAGAUGCCAUGUCAGAUUUCAAAUAAAAUUCUCCAUGUCAUUCAAAUGUUUCUUCUUCCAUGAACAACACCAUGAAAUCACUAAUAUUGCCAUCAUAUUAGUACCAAAUCUCUAUGUUUCACCAUAAAAUUCUUCUCUUUUUUUAGUGCAACAAGACUAUGAAAUAACUGAGCAAGAUUUCUUUGAAAUAAAUUCGUUAUGUAUUCACCAUCAUAAACGCACAAAAAUAACUUCCCAGGAAAUCUAAAACAAAGCAAAAAUGGAAAAGAAAAUAAAAACAAAACAAACAGAAUUUUCUCUUCAGGUAUGCAGAGGUAAAAUUAGAACUUUCAAAAUUGUCAUUACUUAAAAAAUUAUUCUUAAGCUGCAACCUUCUUGUUAAGAUUUGCAACCUCCUAUCUCACCACGCCAAUCACAAAUUUCACCAUCUAUAAUAAAUCCACCACCAAAAUCACGCUAUCACCUUCGUUCCCACAAAAAUUAUAAAGAUUCACCACAAAAUUCAAUAUUUACCUAUAGAUCCAUCAUUAUAAUUUAUUUUUUAAAGCAAUCAUCAAUUUUAUCAACCACCAACAAAAUCGAAGUGAAAUAUCAGAUAUAAGAAAUUAAUGGUGAAAUCAAAUUAUCAUUAAAAUAGAAUAUGAUGGGGGAGCUGGAUUUUGUUGGAGGUGGGGUGAGGUGGGAUGGAUGAAAAUCAGAUAUGAAAAAUAAUGAAACAAAAAAAAAUGAAGAAGAUGAAGGCGGGGUGCAGUGUGAAGAAGAAGAGGUGUAGUGUGUGGGUAGAAAGAAGAUUUUGAUUGAUUUUUUUUUACUUUAUUUUUUAUUUAACGCGCUUGUAAUUUACUUUUCGAUAUAAGUUUGAGGGGAAAUUAAUUAUGCAUUUUCCCUAUAUUAAAUCCUUGCGAUUUCUUUAUAUAUUUACUUGUUAAUAUUUUAUACUUUUUUUAUGAAAAUUUUGUCUCCAUCAUUAUAUUUGAGGAUAACUAUUUAUUUCAAUUUUGCAAAUAAUUUUUUCAAAUCCAACGUAUUUGUAACACCUCGCUAUUUGAAAGAACUAGAAUUUGGAAGAAACCGUUUUUGGAAAUAAUCAAAUUUGAAAAGUUUGACAAAAUUAAGUUUAAGGAUGAGUUUUGAUCAACUUCAAACGACCAUAACUCCUAGCUCAGAAUGAGUUAGGUGUGCUACAAGAUACUGUGGGAAAGAUCUUUGAAUUAUUUUUUCAACGCCAUCGAGUUUGCUCAAUUUCAAGUUCGUAUGAGGGAGAUAUGCCCAUUUGAAGUCGGGUUGUCUAGAUAAGGAAAGUCAAAGCCGUAUUUUUGGAGGGUAUAAUGGUCUUUUCCAUACCCAAUUAAUUUAUUUCGUUUUUACCAAAUCACACUAGGGUUUUGGAGAAAGAACUGAAGAGGAGAAAGGAGAUGAAAAGUUCAAGAUCCGUCAAGUUCUUGCGAUUUUGGUUGUGGUUUUUGCCAAGGAUUAAAUCUUACGAGGUAUGUGAGUUCACAUAGCAUUAGUUUCGUUCACCCACGUGUAACAUCGUGCAAUUUGAAAUAGAUAUGAAGAAGCUUGUAAUUGGAAAUAGUCAUUUUUGGAAAGAAUUCAAAAUCUGGAAAUUUAGUGAAGUAUGGAAAAAAAAUGAGUUUUUGGUCAACUUCACAUGGUCAUAACACCUAGCUCAGGAUGAUUUAGGUGUAUUUUCGGUGAUGUUUGGAAAGCCCUUGGAAUGAUCUUUCCAACGCCACCAAUUUUGCCCAAUUUCGAGUUUGUAUGAGUGAGUUAUUCCCUUUGGAAGUUGGGCUGUUGGCAUAGGGCAGUUUAGUCCGAAUUUGUAAGGGAAUUUUGGUAUUUUCCCUAACCAUUUCUUUUGGUUAUAUUAAGGGUCUAGACUGAUUUUAAUUCAGUUUUACCCUUUUAAAGUGAGAGUUAGGGUUGUGAGUGAAGAGAGAAAGAAGAGGAGAAAGAGAAGAAAAAGCAAAGUUCGUCAAGAUCGUCGUGAUUUUCGUCGGGGGUGAUCCCUUAUAAGGUAUGUGAGAUCAUAGUGUUGGGUUGUUUCAUUCCCCCACACGCCAUACUUGUUUUAUUUCCGAGAAAAUAUUGGUUGUGGUUGUUGAAUUCUUGUGGUUGUGUUGUUGAAGUUUCUUGUUGGUUUGAUACGUGUUUCCGGGUGUGAUUUCGAGUUGAAGCUAUUGUAUAUUAAAGGUUUUAAUGAUUCUAAAUGUUUGGGGAAAGAACCUUUGUUGUUGAGAGGGAUUACAGUUGGAGAAAUUAAGGAAGAAAGUUGGUUUUUCGGGGAAAAAGGGUGAGGCGUCGUGCCAGCCAUCGCGCUCCAACAGGGGUUCUAAAGUCCCCCCCUUGGGGCGGCGCGCCAUGCAGAGCGCCCCAGCAGCCCCUCUGAAACUUGAGGGCUGGCGCCCUGCGCCUCUCAGAGCGCCAAGGACGCCAGUUCUCCUCAUUCCUUCCCCACUUUUUCAUACAUGUUCCUUGGUAAUGUACCUAUGUUUUCUAGUUGUUUUCAACACCCCAAGGUACAUCUAAACAUCACAAACUCAUCCAUAAACAUGAGAUCAUUACCCUUGAUUUCGUAAUCCAAUUCUAGGAAAGUUAGGAUCAAAGUCAAGUGAAGUUAGAGUCAAGUCUAAAAGUUAAGAAGCAAGUCAAAACAAGUCUUUAAAGUUUUUCAAGAGUCUUUAUUGAACGUUUUAACUUCGUUUUAAGGCUCAAGUUUCAAGUUAAGCCAAGAGUAUAGAGUUGAGUUCAUUUCUCAGAAGUUAUUAGGGAACUAAGUAUUCCCAAAGAAGUUUAUAAAUCUUUUUACAUUUGAGUAAGAAAGGAACUAUGUUUUUCAAAGAGAGCCUUUGGGCUAAGCUAGCUUUGAGCAAUUAUCUCAAACUAAAGAAAGAUGUGUUUAAAACACUUAUGAGCUAAAGUAUAUUUUUGGGAGUAGUAUUGAGCACCGAAUUGGGGGCACAAUUUCAUAUUAACUCAACUCUCCAUAAGAACCAUGUAGCCAAACAUGGGAUUUAACGGGUCAUACUUUUUAGAUGAUCACGUAAGUUAAGCUAGUGGAUCCACUAAGUUAAGUAAGGUCCUAUAUCACGGCAAGGUAUAGGAUGGUCCUUAGGCAACGUGAGGUAAAACGUUGUAUCAUCACUAGGGCUCAUAGUGGUGGUUGUUGGUUAAAGAUCUCCCACUAAAGUUAUAUUACUUUUAUAUAAGUAAAGUUGAGUUUGUUAUUGUUUUAUCCUUAACGAACUUAGUUGUUUACACUGGUUUACAAGCUUUAUAUAUAUUGCAUGUGUCUUAUUGCUUUAUAUUGAGUUCGGUUAUUCAUGAGUCGAACAGAGCCAAGGUAAGAGUUCUUUUGUACUCCUUUCAAGCUUAAGUUGUUGUUUAGCUUUCCAGCUCGCAUACUCGUAAAUUCAAUGUACUGAUGUCAGUUGGCCUGCAUCUUAUGAUGAUGCAGAUGCAGGUACCCAGGAUCAGCAUCCAGCACGCCGUUAAUCCAGCUGAGCACUCCAGAGUCAGUGGUGAGACCUCCUUGCCUUCCGGAGGACUCUGUUAUUUUGUGUUCCUAGUUUUGCUUUAUUAGGAUGUUGCGGGGUCUGUCCCAACAUCCAUCUCAGUAUUAUAGAGGCUUCAUAGUCAGUCAGUCAGUUAGUAUUGAGUCUCUCAUCUAUGUAUAUAUAUAAAUAUUCUAUUUUGAGACACGAGUUGCCUUUUUUGCCAGUUUUCAUCAGUUAGGUGGUUUUAUGACCUUUCAUUGCAUGGAGUUAUUCUGUUGAGUUAAGUUUUCCGCUGAGUUAAGUAAGCCAGACCAAGGGUUCGCUUAGGGCCAACAAUGGUCUUCGAGUGCCGGUCCCGCCUAGGGUGUAAGCUCGGGGCGUGACACCAAGCGUCAAACAUGUUUAUUUCAAUAUGAUUUUCGUCCUAAAAGAUUGAGAAUUUGAUGUUCUUGAGUUGUGUUCUUAAAUUUCUUUCGUUCUUGAAUUUGGGAAGAGAUUUAGGAGUUCUUGAGAGCUUAAUGUCGAUUGUUAAAGUUAUUUUGAGUUAGAUUCUAGUGUACAUAUACUGGGUAUUUGAAUCUGAAGACAAAUUGAGAAAAAAAAUCGAAAUUAGGCACAUUGGGGUUGGAAAACGAAGAAGGAAAAAGUCGAGCUCCUCUGUUUCAAAAAUUAAUUUCGCGAUCAAAUAUUUAAAUGCAUCUCUGCGUCAAGGACUUACUUCCAGACAGUGAUUUCUUGAUCGUUUCUCAUGUUUAACUAUUUAAAAGCACUCCUAAACAUCACAAGAUCUUUCCUAUCACAAAUCAUAACCUUGAAUUCAUAAUUCAAAUUCAAGGUAGAGUAAGAGUCAAGUCUUGAGAGUUCUUCGAGUCAUUUUAAGAAGUCUUUUACAAACCUUUUAAACUUGUUUCAAGACUUAAACAUUGAGUUGAGUAAGAGUAAGAGUAAAGUUCAUUUCUUCAAAAGAUUAUACGGGAACUAAGUAUUCCCAAGAGUUAAAAUAUUUUCACAUUUAAACAAGAAAAGAAACACUGAUUUCCAAGAGAGCUUUUAAGCUAGGUUUUGAGUAAUAAUCUCAAACCAUAGAAAGAGAUAUGUUUUCAAACAUAUGAGCUGAGCAUAUUUUGGGAGUAGUAUUGAGCACUGAUAUGGGGACAAGUUCAUAAAACUCAAGUCUCCAUAAACCAUGUAGCCAUCGUGGGUAGAAAGAGUCAUACUUUUUAGAUGAUUCCUUAAUGGUUUUUAGCAUAGACUAGUGGAUCCGCUUAGUUGAGGCAUUCUAUAUCCCGACAAGUUAUUGGACAGUUCUGACAACGUGGACGAGACGUUGUAUCAUCACUUUAGCUCAUAGUGAUUGUUGUUGGUUAGAGAAACUCCCACAAAAUUAUAUUACUUUACUAUAUGAGUAAAUUGAGUUGUUAUUACUGUUUAAAUGCUUUAUAGAAACUGUACGUUUACUGUUGUUAUAUUUUGCAUUUGAGUUGAGUAUCCAUGAGUUGAGUAAAGUUAAGGUAAGUUUUCUUUUCAAAUUCAUUUCAAGCUUAUGUCGUGUUUAGUUUUCCCCUCGCAUGCUCGUAUACUCAAUAUACUGAUGUCAGUUGGCUUGCAUCUUAUUAUGAUGCAGAUACAGGUAACCAUAAUCAACAUCCAAUGCCUCAUUGAUCCAGUUGAACACUCAGAGUCAGUUGGUGAGCCUCCUUGCUUUCCGGAAGAUCCCUUUCUAUAUUGUUUUUUUUUUUGUAUUUCAAUUAUUAGGAUGAUCGAGGGUCUUGUCCCGACAUCCCUCAUUGUUUUUAGAGGCGUCAUAGACAGAUAGUUAUAGUUCUUUAGUCUUUCCAUUUUCAAUUGUUUAUGGUAAGACUUGAGUUGCCAUUUUGGCUAGUUUAAUAUUUCUUUAAGUUAUUGCAUGAGUAUUCUUUUGAGACUGCAUCUAGUUAAUUAAGUCUUCCGCUAAAAGUUAAGUCAGGCCAAGGGUUCGCUUUGGGCCAACAAUGUCUUUCGAGUGCAAGCCACAUCUGGGGUGUAGACUCGAGACGUGACAAUAUUAAUUAUGCAUGGUUAUUGAAUUUUCUAAGUACGUUGAUUCAUCACGAGAUAUAUAUGUGUGAUUAACAAAAUACAUAAUUCUAAGAAAGGAACAAUACAUAAAAUGAAAACAAAAACAUAUCACAAGGAUCAACAAAGAUAAGGAUAAACUAUAGCUAGAUUCGAACUUAAGUCUCAUGGGUGGAUCCUCUAGCUUAUACCAGUAGCACAAUGAUACUUUUAUGCAUUUCAUGGAUACACUAAUAAUUAUAUCUUAAUUUUGUCAGUUUAUUAAGAUAAAUAUAUAUAGGGGAAAAAGGAUGGAUUUACCCCCGAACUUUAAUAAAUGGUACGUGUAUACCCUCCGUUAUACUUUGCGUCCACACAAGCCCCUGCCGUCCAAUUAUAGGUACACACAUGCCCCCUCUCACUAACGGACCCCUCAUUUUUACACGUGUCUUAAUCCUAAUGAACUACCCGUUUGACCUUUUUUUAAACCCAUAAACCAGCUAUCCGCCCCAUAACCCAAUAUCCACCCAAUUUCCUCUAAGAUAUAUCCUAAUUAAAAGACCCAAAUCUAAAGGUCUCGUUCCUAUCACCCAAUAUCAGGCUUAAUCAUAUCACUCAACAUCUCAUCAUACACACAUUUCAUAUCAUCAAUCAUAAAAAACCUCGAUAAGCACAUCAACAACUUGUUAUAACCCCAAACAUCAACUUUAAACCUGCACAUCAUCUCCCGAACAAAACCCAUCACGAAAACAACAUCAUCCCGAGUUUCGCAAGAUUUAAUCAUGGAAAGUCGGGUUCUUUCAGCAACCCGGAAGAGGUUAUUGGAAAUCAAAAUGCGUAAAAUGGGUGCGUAAGAUUGAGGAUUGGGUUUGAAUAAAGGGGUAUUUCGGGUAGAUAAAUAAUCGAAGAAGGAGAUUACAAUGUGGGGGUUGAGAUUUGGGUUUUGCGAAAGGAAAGAAGAGAAAUGAGAAGGGGAUAAAGAAGGAAUAAGGGUGUUGAGAGAAGGGUGUUUUCGCUUGGGUUUGAAAGGACGGAGAGGAGGUGUUGGUUAAUGGAGGAAGUAGAAGUGAUGGAUUUGAUGAAGAAGAGGGAACUUGAGUGAGCUGAACGCAACGCCGUUCAUAGUUGCAUCAUUGUAUGAACGGGAAAUUCAGCGGCAGAGAUGAAGAGAACUCCAUGUAACAGUAAGGAAGAGAGUAGAAAAUUUAGUUAAGUGUUACAGAUCCAUUGGAGCUGAGAAAUGGAGCUCUGCUGGCUGAGUUGAAGAAGACGACAGUAGGUGAUUUCUUUAAAAUUUAUUUUUUUGUGUGAUAGGAACGGGACCUUUAAAUUUGGGUCUUUUAAUUAGGAUAUAUCUUAGAGGAAAUUGGGUGGAUAUUGGGUUAUGGGGCGGAUAGUUGGUUUAUGGGUUAAAAAAAAAGGGUCAAACGGGUAGUUCAUUAGGAUUAAGACACGUGUAAAAAAAUGAGGGGUCCGUUAGUGAGAGGGGCAUGCGUGUACCUAUAAUUGGACGGCAGGGGCUUAUGUGGACGCAAAGUAUAACGAAGGGUAUACACGUACCAUUUAUUAAAGUUCGGGGGUAAAUCCGUCCUUAUAUAUGGACCAUCAAUCUUAUUUUGUGUUAUAUAUAUGUAUGAUUUGAUUUGUUUUGUACUUGUUGAUGAGAAUGGACCACUGAUUCAUAUUAAUUUUGGUUCCACAGGAUAUAUGGACCAUCAAUGUUAUUUUGUGUUGGGCAGAGUAGAAUAUUCAAUAGGGGAGUCAAAAUAUAAAAAGUAAAUAUAUAAUGAAGUCAAAAAUAUUUAACAAAUAGUAUAUAAACAUAAAAGUUUUUUUUUAACUUAUUUAAAAAUGUAUUUUUCUAAUGAAGGGGUCUCAAAUGAAACCCUUUGGACAAGGAUUACUCUGAUAUUAACUAAUUGAACAAGUGCAUUAACGAUAUAUUCUCGAUUUUUAAUCUUUUUUUUUAUUUGUCAUUGAUACUUGAUUUUUUAAAAAUCAAAAUUAUGAUAUUUCAUAUCAUUAAUGAUCUUUGAUUCAUGGCUCAUGUUUAUUACACCACAUAAACUCCUUCCUAGCCAAAAUUAUUUGAAAUUUUUUACCGUGGUAAUUCAUAUGCAUUAUUUUCAUGAAUAAAGUAAGUUCAACUUAUUUAACAUAUUUUUCAUUGAAUGGACCACUAAAAUUGUAAGUGAUAAAUGAAAUUCGAAUUUUUAUGGUUGAAUUAUAUUGGAUUAUUUGUAUAUUGGGUUUGUUUUCACUUGUAGAGAGUGGACGACUAAACUCUUUUUUUGUUUGAAUCUUAUUUACCACAUGUAUUGGAGAUAUACCAUAGAAAUAUAUGUACCAUAAAAAUAUAUUGACCAUACACAAAUUUACGGGUAAAAUUUAAAAGGGGAAUUUUCGCAAAUAGCCAUUAUAAUAAACUUAAUUAUGCUACUUAGCUAUAGUUUACAUAUUUACAGGUUGUAGCUACAUUUUAAGCUGUCUCGUUUGUAUAAUUCGUGGAUUUGUAUAAUUCACGGGUACAUUUGUAUAAUUUAGUUAUUUUUGUAUAAACUCGAAAUAACAAAUUUAUACAAUUACAAACAUCAGAAGUGUAAACAUUUAUACAAAUUAUAUCAUACAAAUUCUGAAUUAUACAAAAGUUAUACAAAUCAUAUUAUACAGACGUGUGAAUUUUACAAAACUAAAAAGCUGAGCCGCGUAAUUAUAACUAAAAGUAGGCCGCGAAUUGUAAUUAAUUAAGGCAAACUAUAGGUAUGUUAACUAAUUAACUAGUAUAUAUUUGCUUAUAUGCGUAAUUUUUUCAAUUUUAAAAAAAUGUUAUUCGGAGUUGAAGCCCAAUGGAUAAAAAAAAACCUCUUAAAUCAUUUAAUUUAAGAACUUAAAUCCGACAUACUCACAAUGUAAUAAUAAUAUUUUAUUUUUUUUACCUAUUUACACCGUAUAAUUUUCCUAAGAAAAGGACGACUCUAUCACUAAUUGAAUAGAAAUCCUUCAUCACACAAAGUCACCCAACUAAUUACCUAGAUCUAAAUAUAAUCUAAAAAUCUUUUAUUUUACACCCUAACGAAGGGGCCCAUCAAAGAACACCCCUCAGACAAGGAUGACUCUGUCACUAAAUGAAUAAAAAUCCCCCAUUACACAAAAUCGCACAACUAAUAUAUUAUCUAGAUCUAACUAUAAUCUAUUAAAAAACUUUUAUUUUACACUCUAACGAAGGGUCUCGAUCAUCAAAGGAGACCUCUCAGAUGACAAGGACAACUCUGCCACUAAUUGAACAAGAAUCCCCCAUCACAAAAAAUCACACAACUAGUUAUCUAGAUCUAGAUACAAUCUAUAAAAAAAAUCUUUUAUUUUACACUCUAGCGUAGGGUCUCUUCAAAGGACACCUCUCAGUCGACAAGAACAACUCUGGCACUAAUUGUAAUUUUCUAAAUUAUGUAUUUGUGUUUUGUAUUGAAUAAUUUUUUUGUGUUUUAAUAUUCCUAUAUAUUAAAGCACGAGAGAAGAUGAUUGUAACAUAUUAUUUUAUAAUUUAUCGUAUUGUAUUGUUUUAAUUAUGAUUAUAAUUUUUAGAUUAAUUGUAUCAUUUUCCUUCAUUAUAUUACCCUUAUAUAUAAGCCAACAAGAAAAGGACUAUCACUGCAAUAUAUAAUUGUACAUCAUGUUGUGUGGAUUGUACUUUUAUAUAGGCUUAUUUAUUGAUUGAUGAAUACACGUGUGCACACUUCUCUUUGCCAAACAAAUAUAAGCCAAAAAAUGAGAGGAUGUAGGAAAACAACUGUAGGUGCCUGUACCAAAGUUCUUUAACAAUUGUACUUUAUAGCCACGUGUAGGUACUUUGAAAUAGAUGUCUUGCAAUUACUCAACUCCUACAUCUUAACCAAAAUUUCCUCUCAAGUCUGUCUUCUUUGGAGCAGCUUGGUUCACUCGAUGAAGCAGGGGAAAAGGCAUCAAAAGUCAUGGUUAAUCCCUUUACUUUGUCUAUUUUUGCCAAAUUUUUCUUUAUACGUCUGCCUCCUCUAUCUGAAUUGCCUCAUUCAUGCUUCUUCAUUGGGUUCCUCUGGAUAUAUUUUCUAUUUUAGUUUUGCAUGUGUUUGAACUAGAAGUUUCACGAUUUUGACGGAAAAUACAAGCUAAUUAGGGUAUUAUUACUUAGUUAUAGGUUUGGAUCUAACUUUUUUAUGAUUAUUUUAUUUUCGUAGUGCUCGCAUCUUCAAAAUGAAUUGGGACGCUUUCUUAAUUUGCAGAAAUCGACCUCAGGCGGCGGUGAUGUGAGUGGGGGAUGUUAUCUGCAGCUGAGCAGUAGGAGGCUGGAGAAACCCUUGGUGGGUUUUGAAAGGAAAAGACGGAAACACCCUUUGAAGGAAUCGAAAAGACAGAAUCGGAGUUUGAGGGUGAGGGAGAUGAAGGGCAAUCUUGGAAUUCUGGGUCUGUUGAGGGUGAAGGGGAGAAGAAGGAAGAAGUUCAUGUACAGGAAAAUCAGAAGGAAAUUGACAACAAUGGCAGCUUUGAAGGUGAAAACUUGCUGGAAUUUGAUGGUACAGAGAGGUGAGUUUUCGCCUUUUCGGGUUUUUUUAACUUCAAUUUCUUCAUUUUGUUAAAUUUGCUCGAUGUGAUUGUUAGAUUUAUCAGUAUGCAUGUUACAAUUUAUGAUUAGGGUUGAUGCUCUGUUUACUGGUAAGUCGGAAUUCGAACUCUCACCAAAAAGGUGAAAGUUUGCAUAGUCAUCAAGAGUCUCUCUGCACUUAGUAUUGGCACCAAUGUUUCUACACUUACAUGUUGAGAAAAUAGUAUUUUCUGCCGGCAGAUGCUUGGUGGGAGAAAAUAGAACAGCUUUAUUCGAUAUGAGAGCUUUUCCAUUCAUAUACUCAUCUUAGUUCCGCGGACUCUUCACUUUUGAUGCCACACCGCUGUCGGAUUCUCUGAAAUUACACUCCUUUGAGAAUCCGACAUGUACCCAUUGGCAUUUUUAAGAGUCCGAGCAANNNNNNNNNNNNNNNNNNNNNNNNNNNNNNNNNNNNNNNNNNNNNNNNNNNNNNNNNNNNNNNNNNNNNNNNNNNNNNNNNNNNNNNNNNNNNNNNNNNNAUUUUCUGCCGGCAGAUGCUUGGUGGGAGAAAAUAGAUGCUUGGUGGGAAAAAAUAGAACAGCUUUAUUCGAUAUGAGAGCUUUUCCAUUCAUAUACUCAUCUUAGUUGAGCGGACUCUUCACUUGUGAUGCCACACCGCUAUUGGAUUCUCUGAAAUUACACUACUUUGGAGAAUCCGACAUGUACCUAUUGACAUUUUAAGAGUCCGAGCAACAUAGAUGAUACAUGAAAAAGUUAAUAGCAAUGAAGAAAUUAACAAGAGCAUUCACCAAACUAAGAAAAAAUCAUUUUGAUCAUUCACGAUCAAUAAGUAUGGACGCCAUGAUAUACUAAUACUUGUGUGGAUCAAAUAAGUAGAGACGUAUAAGGUAAUACUUCGUUUUUAUUACUUUUGCAUUCUGAUAAAUUGUGCAAUCUCAUCCAUUGUAUAUCAACAUUUUUAUCAAUUAGAUCUAAGCAUAUGAAGUCAUGUCGAUUUAUUUCUGCAUUUCAAGUUCUCUCUUUUCUAUCUGAUUCUAGAAUUUCUUGAGUGCUUUAUGUAAUAUGAGAUUCAUAUGAAAUAUACCACUUUUACUGCAUCGUGAGCACGGGUGCACACAUGUCCUUGCCUGUUCACAUCUCGAAAAGAAAUCUUCUUAGGAGCUUGAAGUGUGUCCUGGUCUUUUCCUUGUAAUGUUUGCAUGACUGUCCAGUAAAAAUAUUUUACCUCCAAUGUGGAAUUAGAUAAGCUAAUAUGCAACUUUCUCUAUAUCUUUUUAAAAUUAACAGCUUCUCUUAUGCAUCUCAUUUUCUCAACUGAGGUACUUAAGGGAAAAAAGCAUGAGAAAAUAAAGAGGCAAAAUAGUUUAUUUCGUUUCUCAUGAAACCAAUUAGCAUUCAAAUACUCAAGUGUGGAGAUGCAUUUAUGUAAGUAUAUAUUGAAAACUCUCAUUUUAAUUUAUGAUGUGUAAACAAGACGAGUAGACGAUGAGCUCAAAGGAAUGAAGUUAAAAAUACAUCUAUAUCCCUAUUGCUGCAGAGUUUUUUCAUCAGGCCAAGCUUGGUGGGCGCAAGAGUCAAUUUUUUUUUGUUGUAACUGAAUGAUGCAAGUGUGUGGCAUAUCUCUAACCCAUUUUUUUAUAUUGUGAUAUUGGAAGCUAAUAGCAUUUGAGUGUUUCUGUUUUCUUAUAGUAUGAUCUACUAUGUGCUUUCAAGUGUGGAGGUCUUCUUCCUUCACACAUUAAUAUAUUUGAUGAAAGUCGUUUUUCAAAACUUCUUAGUAAAGAAUGGUUCAUUGAUGUCAGAAAUAAUUGAAAUUCUGUGAACUAAAUUUCAGCCUUCACAAACUAAAAGAGAAGUGUACAACUACUAUAUUUGAUGUGGAGUAUCUUAAUUAGAUGUGUGUUUUUGAUCUUUCAUAUAUGAAUCUUAAUAUUUAAGGUGCAGUUAUUUUGAAGUGUCGUCUCUUGAUUAUUCUUUGUAAUGAUUUUUUUUUUUGCUAUAGCAAGGAACUUUUCUAUGCAUGAAUUAAAGAAAAAUGUUGAUUUUUAAGUCUCUUCAUUAAGCUACAGUUCAUAUUGUAAAUCCUUUUAUUGAUUACCAUUUUGUUGAAGUGCUUAGUUAUAACAGGGACCUUAAUUUGGUAUGUAGGAUUUGAAGAAGAAAGAUGAGUCCAACCAUGCAGGGGUUGCUAUUGAAGAGCAAUACAAAUGACAUUUACCUGAGAAAAUUACUAAAUAAUUAAGGAGUAUGCAUAAGAGCAAUUUCAAGUUUAUCACCCUUCUAGCAUUGAUGUAAGUUGUUCUACUUGGAGCAAGUCAUUAGGUGCCAUUAGCUAGAAGCUAAUGAAUUUUUAAAUUUCUCAACUACCAUAAAAAAAGCAAAAUCUUUCGGCUCAGGCCAUUUUGAGGCAUAUUUCAGAUCCUACAUUAACUACCUACAUGUAAAAAAAUUACUACUCACUUGGCCUUAAAAUGAUAUGUAUUAUUGAUCAUGUUUCAUUUUUUUGUACCCAGUAAUCAAGACGAUCAGUAAACUAGAUGAAAUGAGAAAAAUUAGCCCAAGUGUUCAUUAUAGUUUUAUAUAAUAAAGUACAAACUAAAGUUCUAUUCUUUAGCAGGACAAAAGAAAAAAUAUGUCCAUGAUAUCUUAAGAUUGCUUUCUAAUAUGAGUUGCCAAAGAGUUGAUCCAAUUUUUUUUCCUUUUNNNNNNNNNNNNNNNNNNNNNNNNNNNNNNNNNNNNNNNNNNNNNNNNNNNNNNNNNNNNNNNNNNNNNNNNNNNNNNNNNNNNNNNNNNNNNNNNNNNNNNNNNNNNNNNNNNNNNNNNNNNNNNNNNNNNNNNNNNNNNNNNNNNNNNNNNNNNNNNNNNNNNNNNNNNNNNNNNNNNNNNNNNNNNNNNNNNNNNNNNNNNNNNNNNNNNNNNNNNNNNNNNNNNNNNNNNCGGAAAUUGUGAAGAUCUUUCUUGAUCAAUCCCUUUGAUACUCAUUCUUUAGGAAUAAGGAAGAGCAUUUUCAAGUUUGCAUUUGUUCAUUUAUAAUCUAAUUUCUUCUACUUCAUAUUUAUUUAAUAUGAAUAUUUUUCCUCUCUUUUUUGUUGACACAUUUAACAUAAACUUGCCCCACUAUUUCUGGUGCUGUGGCCUUUUCAGUAAUUUGCAGGAACAACAUAUAACAUUUCUCUGGGCACUGCAAAGAAAAUACUUACAAAGAGUUGAAGAGUUUACGUUAUUUGUGACACAUUGUAUACUCCAGAAGUUGUGACACCACUAGAAUUUGAACGAUAGAUUGUUAAAUCAUAACGUUCCGAACAACUUCUUGAGCAUUUUUCUUUUCUUUUUUUUGUCCUGUACAAGUUGUUUGAGUUGCUUUAAUGCUUGAGACUUUGUUUUUAAUUUUUCAGAUCAUUCCUUAUAUUAGAACAUACACACAACCCGAAUUAAUGUAAUCCUUGCAAUUUGUGCUUUUAUAACUGAAUAAUUUCCAGCAACAUUUUAUUUACAAAGAACAAACUAAUUAUGUUGGGCCCGUGCUUAGCACGGGCCAUGCCCUUCUAGUAAUAUCAUAUAUCAGUAAUUUAAAAGACAAACAUAAAAAAAAAAAAAAGGUAUGAUAUGAAAUAGAACUAUUAUAAAAACAUUAUAUCUUUUUGAUAUGUUUGUCCUAAUCACUUCUAUAUAUGACCAAUGCUUGCUUAGAAUAGGAAAACAUACAUCAAAUGUCCUAAUUGCAGUUGUAGAUGCUGCUUCUUUCUUCUUACUUUUUUUUAAAUAUAAAAAAAUUGAUGUAUUGGAAGUGUUAAUCUUUUUGAGUGAAUUAUAUAUAUCAAAAGACUUGAAAUAUCAAGAGGAUUUUUUUUUCUAUAUGACUCUCUUCUGUGGUGGAUAAACUGGAGAUUUUGAAUAUAAUUUUUAAUCUCAAUUGUUUUUUUUUUCAUCAUACCAACCUGAAAUUAUAAACACAAUAUCUUCAAAUUUUUUCUUAAGUGAAAUUUAUGUUUUAAAUAUGAAUUCAAUUCAUAUAGUCACGAGAUACUUGAUGAAAAAAUAAAAAUAAAAAUAAAUGUUGUGGUCCUAACUACAAGAAAAUGGUGGAUUACAUGGGGAUUUCACUAAUCCGAUCCCCAGGAAAAUCCUCAUGUAAUUCACAUUUUUUCUUGUAGUAUAUAUAUACUCCCUCUAUCCCUAAUUACUUGUCCACUUUUCCUUCUUUAGUUGUCCCUAAUUACUUGUCCAUUUUGACAAAUCAAGAAAGAACAUUUUUUUUACCUAUUAUACCCUCAAUUUAUUACUUUGAAAAAGGUAGAACUUCUGAAAAUCUUAAGUUUUUAAUUCAUCCACUUCAUAAUUAAUAGGGGUAAAAUGGUAAACUUACUAUAUCAAUAAUUAUUUUCUUAAUAGGUGUGUCAAUUUAAAAGUAGACAAAUAAUUAGGGACAAAGGGAGUAUAAUUCUCUGGAACAUGUGUUAAAUAUGUGAGUAUCUAACCAUAGUCGAUAGAUAAGAUCAAAGGAGGACCUAUAAAUAAUAAAAACACUUUCUGGCUAUAUGUCUAAAUAUUUUUUUCCCCGAGGUGUACGAUAUUUACAUACAAAUUAAACUAAAUUUAAAUUCAUACAUUAUAAAUUUUUUUAAUUUUCAAAUGCUUAAAUUCAAAACUUCUAACUAAAGAUGAUUUAAUUUCAUUCCACCCGUGACCCUUUAAAGAAUGUUAAGUUAAAUUCCUUCGUUCAAAAAUUAACCUUAAAUUCAGAUAAGUUUAUGAAUCUAUGGGACGGAGAAUCCAUGUUUAACUAGUGGCGGAGCCAUCCUUAUCCUAGAGGUGUCAUUUAAGACCCCUUUAUUGAAGCUACAUUGCACACAUGUGUAAAAUAUCUUCAUCUUUUUUUAUGAUCUGGGCCUUGGUCUUUGGGCCUUUCAACUAAAUAAAAUAGAAAAUAUUGAUUCAUAUAUAGAAAAAAUUAGUUAAUAUAGAUGUAUCAUUUUAAUUAAUAUGUUCAUGAACUAGAAAAGAUAAACGUUAUUCAUCAACUAGGGAAGAUAAAAGAAUAUAUAAAAAGUAAUUAACAAGAAGCACUAAACUUUUAUUCAAUCAAAACACAUAACGAUUACAUAAUUUAGAAAAUUACAACCACAAAAAUAUUUAAUUAGUAGCUUAGUACAUAGCAUAGUGUCAUAGAUAACACAAUAUACUUUGUGGUCAUAACUUAUUCUUAAGCUUUUGGUAGAGCAAUAUUAUUGCCAUCAACACAAUAAUUCUCAUUGCAACUUGUCAUGCAACUUCCAAACUUCUCAUGAUCUGCAAAAUUAAUGAGUAAUUAAUUAGGUCUAAAUAUAUAUAUUUAAGGGUUCACAUCAUUUUUAUUGAAUUGUUAGACUGUCUAUACAUAAAAACGUUAUAAUAUAAUCAUGUUUAUUACUAUACCAUAGUUGUUGAUGAGAUAUUUGUAACAAUGACCAAAAGAACAUCCAACGUUACAAAUGCGAUUAUUUCGAGUUUGAACGUCCCUCUGACUGCAAUAGUCAGGACAUAUAAUAGUGCUGCAAAUAGGGUUUAAGAAGCAACCAGCAAUACAUAGUGAUAAACAUUCUCCAUCCUCUCUUUUGAUCAUCUCACCAUUAUUCUCAUUUGUAAAUAAAAGCAUUGCAAAGAACAAAACCACUAUAACUUUCAAUGCCAUAAUUAAUUAUACUAUAUGAUAUGAUACUUGUAAUUAUUUGGUUGAGGUGUAAAAAAAAAGGUCCUCACAUUCAACUAUUUAUAGAGGAAUUCCCUCUCAACAAUAAUGUUUUAAUCAUGAAUGGUAAUUAGGUUAGUCACGGGACAUGUAACAAUACAUGAAUAAGAUAUAAAAAACAAAAUGUACUAUGUAUGAGUAAUUCAAAACAAACCAAGUAUAUAUGUACAAGAAUUCACUCCAACAAUACAAUUCAUUUUUUUUUGGGCAUAAUACAUAAAUAUGUUUUUUUAACCUGACCUCAUUUUUCACAUUUUCAUCCUCUAACUUUGUGUGUGUACAAAUAGUCACUUAAAUUUGUAUAAAGUCAAAUAAAUAAACACACAUCCUAUGGGUUAAAAAUCCAUAUAUAUAUAAUUUUUUUCGUGUGUUUACUUUUUUAUUGUUUGAAAUUCCCUUAGUGUAAAGCUUCUAAAUCAAACACAUUUUAAUCAUGCAUGGCUAUUGAAUUUAAUUUUCAAUAGGUUGAUCCGUACACCUUUAGUCACAAGAAUUUGUGAUGAACAUAAUUCAAAGAAUAUUUUCUAAAAAAGGAAACCAUACAUUCCAUGAAAACAAAAAUGUAGUAUGCAUUUGUGAUUCACUCUCAACAAGUAAAUACAAACCAAAUUUUUUUUUUGAUUCGUUGACAGUGAUUGAUCCAACAUUUUUAUUAAGAUAUUUGGAAAAAUAAAAAUAUAGUGCCUAGAAGUUUGAAUUUGGAAUCUCCGAGCUGUAUUUUGUACCCCUCAACGUAUUAAAUCAACUUUUAAUCUUAUGUUCAAGAGGUUCAGACUCUAUAAUUAUACCUUACAGAUAUCGUGUAAUUUUUGCUGAUAAAGUUCGGUGAACCUCCCCACUAGCUCAUAGAUCUAUUGUUGCAUGUCGAGUAAGAUCCAUUUAAGAGGAAAUUACCUCCUAACAGGUUUUUUUCUUUUUCCAUAUUAACGGUUCAAAAUCGAGAUCUUUAACUAAAAAUGUAGUACCUAGAAUUUGAAUUUAGAACCUGAAGUUAUAUUUUGAACCCCUCAACCACUAAAUCAACCCUUAAUCUUAUGUUCAAAUUAAAUUAACUUAUACUUUACAGAUAUUAUGUAAUUUUUGUCGAGAAAGUUUGGUGAACCGCCCCCACUACCUCAUAGAUCUGUCAUUGCAUUUCGAGUAAGAUCCAUUUAAGAGGAAAUUACCUCCUAACAAGUUUUUUAUUCUUUUUUCAUAUUAACGGUUAAAAAUCAAGAUCUUUAACUAAAAAUAUAGUACCUAGAAUUUAAAUUUAGAACCUCAAGGUAUAUUUUGAACCCCUCAACCACUAAAUUAACAUUUAAUCUUAUAUUCAAAUUAAAUUAACUCUAUGAUAAUCAUACUUUACACAUAUUAUGUAUCUUUUGUCGAGAAAGUUCGGUGACCCUCCCCACAAUGCUAUAGAUAUGCCGAUGUGUGUCGAGUAAGACCCAUUUAAGAGGAAAUCAUAACAAGUUUUUUUUUUUUAUUAACGGCUUGAGGCGAUCCAUCCCAUUUUAACUCUUAUAUGUUAUUUUGUUGGUUGUUAUUUGUUAUUAAUAUAGAAAAAUAAAUUAGGAUAGAUGUAUCAUUUUAGUUUAAUAUGUUCAUGAACUAGAAAAGAUAAAAGUUGUUCAUCAACUAGGGAAAUAAAAUAAUAUUUAAAAAGAUGUAUCAAAAAGUAAUUAAUAAAAUUUUAUUCAACUAGAACACAUAACGAUUACAUAAUUUAGAAAAUUACAACCACAAAAAUAUUUAAUUAGUAGCUUAGUACAUAGCAUAGUGUCAUAGAUAACAAUAUACUUUGUGGUCAUAACUUCUUCUUAAACUUUUGGUAGAGCAAUAUUAUUGCCACCAACACAAUAAUUCUCAUUGGAACUUGUCAUGCAACUUCCAAACUUCUCAUGAUCUGCAAAAUUAAUGAGUAAUUAAUUAGGUCUAAAUAUAUAUAUUUAAGGGUUCUAAUUGUACGUUUUUAUUGAAUUGUUAGUCUGUCUAUACAUAAAAACGUUAUAAUAUAAUCAUGUUUAUUACUAUACCAUAGUUGUUGAUGAGAUAUUUGUAACAAUGACCAAAAGAACAUCCAACGUUACAAAUGCGAUUAUUUCGAGUUUGAACGUCCCUCUGACUGCAAUAGUCAGGACAUAUAAUAGUGCUGCAAAUAGGGUUUAAGAAGCAACCAGCAAUACAUAGUGAUAAACAUUCUCCAUCCUCUCUUUUGAUCAUCUCACCAUUAUUCUCAUUUGUAAAUAAAAGCAUUGCAAAGAACAAAACCACUAUAACUUUCAAUGCCAUAAUUAAUUAUACUAUAUGAUAUGAUACUUGUAAUUAUUUGGUUGAGGUGUAAAAAAAAAAGGUCCUCACAUUCAACUAUUUAUAGAGGAAUUCCCUCUCAACAAUAAUGUUUUAAUCAUGAAUGGUAAUUAGGUUAGUCACGGGACAAGUAACAAUGCAUGAAUAAGAUAUAAAAAACAAAAAUGUACUAUGUAUGAGUAAUUCAAAACAAACCAAGUAUAUAUGUACAAGAAUUCACUUCAACAGUACAAUUCAUUUUUUUUUUUUUUUUUGCAUAAUACAUAAAUAUGUUUUUUUAACCUGACCUCAUUUUUCACAUUUUUGUCCUCCAACUUUGUGUGUGUACACGUAGUCACUUAAACUUGUAUAAAGUUAAGCAAAUAAACACACACGUCCUACGCGGUUAAAAAUCCUUGUUUGAUCAAUGCCAAAGAUAUCCUUGUCCUAGAGGUGUCAUUUGAGACUUUUUCACUAUAAAAAUACACUAUAUAUGUACAUAAAUAGGUAAAAUAUGGUUUUAUGCACAUAGAAUAAGGAUUCAAGACUGUGAAAUUGAAACGUUAGCUCUAGUAGACUCUUGAUGUACAAAAAGUAUAAUAAAUAGAAGUAUCCUACCUCUAGAUAUAAUAAAAGAAUUUUCAGAACCACAAAGCGCCAUGCAAAUGGACGGAUCGUCAAAUAUAUAUAAACAUUAUGUUAGUAAUGCUCAAAUAAGUUUUUAAAUACAUGUGCAGACUUUUAUAAACCCACAUAUAAAUUAGAAAAAAUAUGGGUUAGAGAUUUAAAUAUUAGAGUAGACUUUGUUUUAGGUUUAGACUUCUUAUUACAUAACAACGGAAGCUGUCUCCUUACUAGAGACGGUGUAAUAUUCUCAAAAAAUAAAACUCAGACCUCAAUAACAACAGAAUCGGUUCCAACAAGAUCUAGGUAUUUUAAAAAUACUGAUAAACUUUACACAAAUACAUCAAAAUGUAAUAAAGGAGAAGAAUGUAACUGUACUAAGAUACAUGUUAUUGAAGAAAUUGAAGAAAUCGAAUUAUUAGAGCUAAGUCUAUCCGAUAUACAACUAGAAAAAAGUUAUAACUUAAUAGAAAUAAUUAAAUACAGAACUUUACAAUUUCAAAAAAGGAUUGCAACAUAUAGGAGUCAUAAAAAAUCAAAAAGACCUAGAUGAAGUAAUUUCCAUCUUGGAUAAGUUAGAAAUAAUUGGAGAGAGACCUCUGAAGCACUGGGAAGCCAAUCAUAUCAUAUAUAUAUAUAUAUAGAUUAAUUUUUUAUAGUUUUUUUUGUGUGUUUACUUUUUUAUUGUUUGAAAUUCCCUUAGUAAAGCUUCUAAAUCAAACACAUUUUAAUCAUGCAUUGCUAUUGAAUUUAAUUUUCAAAAGGUUGAUCCGUACACCUUUAGUCACAAGAACUUGUGAUGAACAUAAUUCAAAGAAUAUUUUCUAAAAUAGGAAACCAUACAUUCAAUGAAAACAAAAAUGUACUAUACAUUUGUGAUUCACUCUCAACAAGUAAAAACAAACCAAGAUAUUUUUUUUUGAUUUGUGGACAGUGAUUGAUCCAACAUUUUUAUUAAGGUAUUUGAAAAAUAAAAAUGUAGUGCCUAGGAUUUUGAAUUUGGAAUGUCAAGGUGUAUUUUAAAUCCCUCAACAUAUUAAUUAGUCAUCGUUUAAUCUUAUUUUUAAGAGGUUCAAACUCUAUAAUCAUACCUUAUAAAUAUAGUGUAAGUUUUGUUGAUAAAGUUUGGUGAAGCUCCCACUACCUCAUAGAUCUGUUAAUUGUUGCAUGUUGAGUAAGAUCCAUUUAAGAGGGAAUCGCCUCCUAACAAGUUUUUUUCUUUUUCCAUAUUAACGGUUCGAAAUCGAGAUCUUUAACUAAAAAUGUAGUACCUAGAAUUUGAAUUUAGAACCUCAAGGUAUAUUUUGAACCCCUCAACCACUAAAUCAACCUUUAAUCUUAUGUUCAAAUUAAAUUAACUCUAUAAUUAUACUUUACACAUAUUAUGUAACUUUUGUCGAGAAAGUUCGGUGAACCUCCCCACUACGCUAUAGAUAUGCCGAUGUGUGUCGAGUAAGACCCAUUUAAGAGGAAAUCAUAACAAGGUUUUUUUUUUCUUCAUAUUAACGGCUUGAGCUCGUGAUCUUUAAGAAUUCUAUCCAUCCCAUUUUAACUCUUAUAUGUUAUUUUGUUGUUUGUUAUUUGUUAUUAAUAUAGAAAAAUUAAUUGGGAUAGAUGUAUCAUUUUAGUUUAAUAUGUUCAUGAACUAGAAAAGAUAAAAGUUGUUCAUCAACUAGGGAAAAUAAAAUAAUAUUUAAAAAGAUGUAUCAAAAAGUAAUUAAUAAACUUUUAUUCAACUAGAACACAUAACAAUUACAAAAUUUAGAAAAUUACAACCACAAAAACAUUUAAUUAGUAGCUUAGUACAUAGCAUAGUGUCAUAGAUAACACAAUAUACUUUGUGGUCAUAACUUCUUCUUAAGCUUUUGGUAGAGCAAUAUUAUUAUUGACAUCAACACAAUAAUUCUCAUUGCAACUUGUCAUGCAACUUCCAAACUUCUCAUGAUCUGCAAAAUUAAUGAGUAAUUAAUUAGGUCUAAAUAUAUAUAUUUAAGGGUUCUCAUCAUUUUUAUUGAAUUGUUAGUCUGUCUAUACAUAAAAACGUUAUAAUAUAAUCAUUUUUAUUACUAUACCAUAGUUGUUGAUGAGAUAUUUGUAACAAUGGCCAAGAGAACAUCCAACGUUACAAAUACGAUUAUUUCGAGUUUGAACCUUCUCACUGCAAUAGCCAGGGCAUACAAGAGUGGUGCAAAUAGGGUUUAAGAGGCAACCAGCAAUACAUCUUGCUAAACAUUCUCCAUCCUCUCCUUUGAUCAUCUCACCAUUGUUCUCAUUUGUAAACAAAAGCAUUGCAAAGAACAAAACCAAUAUAACUUUCAAUGCCAUAAUUAAUUAUAUUAUAUGAUAUGAUACUUGUUAUUUGGUUGAGGUGUAAAAAAAAAAGGUCCUCACACUCAACUAUUUAUAGAGGAAUCAAUCCCCUCUCAACAAUAAUGUUUUAAUCAUGAAUGAUAUUUAGGUUAGUCAUGGGAUAUAUAAGAUUUUAAUAAAGGAACAAUAUAUGAAUAAGAUAUAAAAAAACAAAAAUGUACUAUAUAUGAGUACUAAUUCAAAACAUAUUGUACAAGAAUUCACUUCAACACAAUACAAUUUCAAUUAUUAUUAUUUUUGGCAUAAUACAUGAAUAUAUUUUUUUAACCUGACCUCAUUAUUCACAUUUUUGUCCUUCAACUUUAUGUGUGUACAAGUAGCCAUACUUCAUCUUGUAUAAAGUUAAACAAAUAAGCAUACACGUCCUACGUGGUAAUCUACAUGACAAUUUGUGUCCUGCAUGGUUAAAAAUCCUUGUUUGAUCAAUGGUGAAGAUAUCCUUGUCCUAGAGGUGUCAUUUGAGACUUUUUCACUAUAAAAAUAUACUAUAUAUGUACAUAAAUAGGUUAAAUAUUGUUUUAUGCACAUAUUUUAUAUAUUAAAUUUUUAUAGUUUUUGACUUUUUUCGUGUGUUUACUUUUUUUAUUGUUUGAAAUUCCCUUUGUAAAACUUCUAAAUCAAACACAUUUUAAUCAUGCAUGGCUAUUGAAUUUAAUUUUAUGCUUUUAUCCGUACACCUUUAGUCACAAGAAUUUGUGAUCAACAUAAUUCAAAGAAUAUUUUCUAAGAAAGGAACAAUACAUUUGUGGUCCACUCGAUCUCAACAAGUUAAAACAAACCAAAAUAUUUUUUUGGAUUCGUGUUGACAGUGAUGGAUCCAAGAUUUUUAUUAAGGGUUUGAAAAAUAAAAAUAUAGUGCGCCUAGGAUUUUGAAUUUGGAAUGUCAAGUGUAUUUUAAACUCCUCAACGUACUAAGUCAACCUUUAAUCUUAUGUUUAAGAGGUUCAAACUCUAUAGUUAUACCUUAUAGAUAUCGUGCAAUUUUUGUUGAUAAAGUUUGGUGAAACUCCCCUCUACCUCAUAGAUCUGCUAUUGGAGAAUACAACAAGGAGAUUGCAAAAAACUGAUUUACAACUAGCUAGCUGGCUUUGCUAUAUGUUAAAAUAUUUUUUUCUCUUUAUAGUGUACGAUAUUUACAUAGAAAUCAGAAAAAAUUUGAAUUCAUACAUUAUAAUUUUUUUUAUUUUCAGAUGCUUAAAUUCAAAACUUCUAAUUAAAGGUGAUUUAAUUUCAUUCCAUCUGUGGCUAGAGCCGUCACAACAGGCUUAGCCCAUGGGGUAGGUCAACCCAACCCGUUAUUGGGGUAAGAUUGGGAUAUGAUUUUUCAAGUUCAUUUAAAACUAGGGCUUAUACGUCCGACCCAUAUAAGCCCUUGGUCCUUGAGGCUUGAUUGGGGCUGGGCCGGGAUCAGCCCAUGGGCCAAAACUUUUUAUUUAAGUUAACGUACAAUAAUCUCACUAGUAUAUAAUCUAAUUACUUAAAUACAUACUAUGUUGUAAUAUUAUGAAUCUUACCAGAUUUUUGUACUUCCAGAUACAUGUAUCUCAAAAGAAUAUAUGGACUCAAAAUUAGGUGAAUUUGUUUUCGAUACACUCUAUCCAAGUAGAUUCGCAUGUAUCUAGGAUACAUAGACAAAUCUUGCGCGCUCGCGUAUCUGGUAUGCGAGAUAUAUGCUAAUUAUAAUAGAUUUUUUGCUAGUGUUAUUGAAACAACACCAUUGUUUGCCAUAUUUGAUUUGAAAAUCUUCUCAUUUUCUUGAUGUUGUAGAAUAUAAGUUUGAAAAAAAAAAAAGGGCUAGCCCUCCCCAGUCCUCGACCCUUCUAGGGUUGGGUUGGAUUGAGCAUUUUCAGGCCCUUCCAAAUGAAGGGUCGAUCCGCCCUAGCCCUUCAAAUUCCUUAGCCCGCGAGGCUUGGGCCAGGUGGGGCUAGGUUGCCCUUUUUGACAGCUCUACCCGUGGCCCUUUAAAGAGUGUUAAGUUAAAUUCUUUCGUUUAAAAAUUAUACUAUGUAAAUUAAUAAAUUCAGAUAAGUUAUAUGAAUCUGUGUGAUGGAGAAUCCAUGUUUAACUAGUGGCGGAGCCAUCCUACAUUGCACACAUAUGUAAAAUAUCUAUUUUCUUCAUAUGUAAUAUUUUAAACUUUUCUUAGUGUGAUUCAACACAAUUCUUUGUCCUAAUCACUUCAAUCACCAAAAAGAAAGAAACUAUAGGAGUAAGAACUCAAAUGAUGUGAAAGAUGUAGAAUUUGUUGGUACCUUUUUGUAUUAAGGAUUCUCAUUGCAACUUGUCAUAAGCUUAUUAAAUAUAUACAAAUAUUAAGCUUAGAACUCAAUAAUUAACACUUGAAAUCAUCAUUAUAAAAUUUAAAAUUUAUUAUGGUUAAAAUUAUUGUCUAUGUCUAUUUUUACUUAUCCACUAUAUAUUAAGAAUAGUUAUCUAUAAUACUUGUCUACUUUGAAAAAUUAAGAGAUAAUUUACUCUUUAAUUAAGUUGUCUCACAUUAAAUACUUUACUCAAUUCAUGUUCAUAUUCACGCGCGCGCGCACACAAGAAUUUGUGACGAACAUAAUUCAAAGAAUAUUUUCUAAGAAAGGAAACCAUAUAUUCGAUAAAAACAAAAAUGUACUAUGCAUUUGUGAUUCACUCUCAACCAGUAAAAACAAAUCAAGAUAUUUUUUGAAUUCGUGUUUAUAGUAAUGGAUCCAAGAUUUUUAUUAAAGCAUUUGAAAAAAAAAAAUAUAGUGCCUAGAAUAGAAUUUGGAACAUCAAGGUGUAUUUUGAAACUCUCAACACUAAAGUCAACUUUUUAAUCUUACAUUCAAGAGGUUCAAACUCUAUACUUAUACCUUACAGAUGCCUUAUAGAAAUUCACUUCUCAAUUAAUUAAGGGCGGAGCUAGAAGUCUGGUGACGGAUUUGACCGAAUAAUAUUUGUUCAAGUAGUGUAUUUGUAUUAAGAAACUUAUUAAAUAUAUACAAAUAUUAAAUUUAAAACUCAAUAAUUAACACUUGAAAUAGUCGUUACAAAAUUCAAAACACAUGAGGUUAAAAUUUUCAUACUUCAUCUUAUGAGAAUUUCUUCUUUUUUAUCGUGCUUAGGACAAAUUUACCAUAUUCUAUGUGCGGCAUUAAUUAUGUUUAUAUAAUAGCUUUACCUUAUAUAUGCAUGCCAUAUAUUUUUUUAAGAUUUGUCUUUCAAAUUCUUAAUGUGUGAUUUUAUAACGAUGAAAAAUCAUACAAUGGAUCUAAACAUUAUAAUCAUGAUUAAAACAAUACAACAUAAUAAUAAUUAAUAGAAAACACUAGAGUUUUAUUCAAGUACGAACGAACACACAUAACGAUUACAUAAUUUAGAAAAUUACAACCACAAAAGUAUUUAAUUAGUAGCAUAGUGUCAUAGACGACACAUACUUUGUGGUCAUAAUAAAUUCUUGUUAAUUAAGCUUUUGGUAGAGCAAUAUUACUAUUGUCAAUUAAUACAAUAGUUCUCAUUGCAGCUUGUCAUGCAACUUCCAAACUUGUGAUGAUCUGCAAAAUUAAUUAACAAGUAAUUAGGAGCAUGUGUUGAAAUAAUAAAAAGAUUAACAAUGACCAAGAGAACAUCCAACAUUAGAAAUUUGUAACAAUGACCAAGUUCAGUCACGGGGAUAUGAAAUUCAAGAAAGGACCAUAUAUGAUAUAUGCAUAAGAUUACAAAAAUGUACUAUAUAUGUAUUAGUGGUUUAAUUCCUCUUUUGACCGUAUGAUGUUGCUCUUUCUUUCCCUUUUUUCAUCAAUUAUUUCAAGAAAAUCAAUCUUUAAUCUUAUGUUCAGGAUGUUCGAAUUAACUCUAUAAUUAUACCUUACAGAUAUUUUUAUCGAGAUUGUUCGAUGAACCUCCCCAUUAGAAAAUGUCACUUUUUUUAUAUGAAAGAAAAAUACUAAAACAACAUGCAUUUAACAUUAUUUCACACACCAAUACAUACAUUUGGGUUAUUUAAAACAUAUAUUUUUGUAUUUAAGUACAAUUAUUUAUAUACGAAUUUUAUAUAUAGUAUGUCUCAUUAUAUAUUACAGAUGGAACUUAUUGAAAAUUUAGAUAAUCAAGAAUAAUUCAAUGAGUACAUAGGAAUAAAAAUGUAAAACUAAAAUUAAAUUUAUAAUUAUAUAAACUUCAUCUUGCAACUAUUAUUAUAUAGAUUAUUGUCAUAACGUUUUAAACAUGCGUUGUUUAAAUUUAAUUUCCUAGUACGUUGAUCUGUGCAGCUUUAUAUACAAAGAAUAUUUUUUAUAAGGAACAAUACAUAAGGUAAAACCAAAAAUGUACUAUAGUGGUCCACUCUCAAAAAGUUAAACAGAAACCAAAUAAUAUCAUAAAAUAAUUGAAAUAUUUGACGGAUUAUAGACAUAAUUUCCAAUGUGUUAUAUCAGAAAUUCACUUAUCAAUUAAUUAAGGGCGGAGCUAGAAGUCUAGUUACGGAUUUAACCAGAGUAUUUUAUGUUCAAACAAUGUAUUUGUAUUAAGAAACUUAUUAAAUAUAUACAAAUAUUAAAUUUAAAACUCAAUAAUUAACACUUCAAAUAGGCGUUAUAAAAUUUAAAACACAUGAGGUUUAAAUUUUCAUACUUCAUCUUAUGAGAAUUUCUUCUUUUUAUCGUGUUGAGUUCUUGUGAUAGAAGAAGUCAUGAUUAGGACAAAGUAUUAUAUGUGCAGCUUUACUUUAUAUAUGCAUGUCAUAUUUUUUUAAGAUUUGUCUUUCAAAUUGUUUAUGUGUGAUCUUAUUAUAGAGAAAUAUAUUAACAUAACGUUUUAAUCAUGCAUGAUAAAGUUAGUUUAGUCACGGGAUGUAUAUGUACUAUAAAGAUUCUGCAAAUGUACCAUGUAUGAUUUAUCCACUCGAGACAAGUAAUUAAUUCAAAACAAAUCAAGUAUGAUAAUUCAAAAUAGGGUUGUGGUCGAGUUUUUAAUCUCCUUGGUACGAAGUCAAUUUUGUUAGGGAGCGCUUUUAUCCUCUAAUGUGGACUUUACGACGCGAGUUUGAAUUUAGUCAGGCCUCAAUGUGGGUAUCAGUGGAUGGUAAACAAAAAAAGAAAAAUAAUUUUCAACCACACAAAUAUCUCAAAAUUUCCAGCUCAAAUCAUAUUAUGUCAAACUUCAACGAGAAUACAUGUCAAAAUAUCAUUUCUCAAGCAAAUAUCAAACCCUUUUGAAAUUGUAUGAAGAAAGCGAUAAGAAUGAAUUGAAAUACUCAAAAGAGAAAGAGGAGAUAAGAGAGGAGAGGAGCGUAAGAAGAAACAAAUUUAGAUUUUUGUUAAUUUCAUUCUUUUUCAAUGCCUACUAGAAGAUUAUGAGUCCAGUUUAUAUAGACCUACUAACUGGACUUAAUUCUAACUAACUACAAUAGUUUACCUAACUACACAGUUAAUUAACUAACUUUCAAUAAGUUAGUUAACCUUGUAACUAACUUCUAACUAUUCACACUAUCCUUGAGACUUUAGGUUAUUCCUUCAAUACUACCCCCUCAAGUUAGGUACUCUAAAAAAUGUUUCUUAAUGCCUAACUUGGAACUCAAAACUUUCAUGUUGCAUUCUGAAUAAACUCUUGGUUAACAAAUCCGCAGGCUGUUCAUUUGUAGGAAUGUAAUUAGUAGAAAUCACUCCUUGCAUAAUCUUUUCUCUAAUGAAGUGACAGUCUAUUUCAAUGUGUUUCGUCCUUUCAUGAUAAACUGGGUUUGCAGCUAUUUGUAUAGCAGCCUUACUGUCACUAUACACCUUAACUGGAAGAGUAACAUCUACACCAAAUUCCUUUAUUAAUCCAAUUAUCCACACCAAUUCUGCCACUGUUGAAGCUAAGCUUCUGUAUUCAGCUUCUGCUGAACUCUUAGACACGAUAGUUUGUUUCUUAGACUUCCAAACGACAGGAGAAUCUCCAAGCUUAACUACAUACCCUGUCACUGACUUCCUGGAGUUUGGACAUGCAGCCCAAUAAGCUGAUAUCUCAAUGUUGUCAUUGCUAGACAGUAGGACUCCCUGCCCUGGUUCUUUUUUCAGAUAUCUAACUAUUCUAAUUGCUGCUUCCAUAUGGGACUGUUUAGGAGCUUGUAAAUAUUGACUUAGAGUCUGUACACAAAAAGAGAUAUCAGGUCUGGUCAUAGUGAUAUAUAGAAGUUUACCUAUGAGUUUCUGAUAAGACCCUUGAUCAGCCAUAUGUUCUACUUGACCUUUCAUCACAUGAUCAUCAUAUUCCUUUGAUGUUAACUUUAUAUUUGCAUCCAUAGGAGUCAUAGCAGGUUUUGCUACCCCUAAACCAACUUCAGAAAUUAACUCUAAUGCAUACUUUCUUUGAUGCAUUAGAAUACCUUCUUUUGAUCUAGCAAACUCAAUACCAAGGAAAUACUUUAACUCUCCUAAGUCCUUCAUUUUGAACGCUUGUUGUAAGUGCCCUUUGGUCUCAUUGAUCAGUUUCAGACUAUCUCCUGUGAUGAGCAUAUCAUCCACAUAUACAAGAAUAACUGUAAUGCCUUCUGUGCUCUUUUUAGUGAACAAUGAAUGAUCAUAUUGACUCUGUUGGAAUUGGAAUUUAAGAAGUGCCUCAGUUAGCUUAGCAUUCCAUUGCCUAGGAGCUUGUUUCAACCCAUACAAGGAUUUCUUGAGUCUGCAUACUGUCUUAGUCUCCCCCUGACUCUGAAAACCUUGUGGUAAAUCCAUGUAAAUCUCAUCAAAUAGGUCACCUUGUAAAAAGGCAUUAAACACCUCCAUUUGAUGGAUAUGCCACUGUUUUAUUGCUGCAAGAGCAAGUACUGACCUAACAGUUUUCAUUUUCACCACUGGAGAGAAAGUUUCUUGGUAAUCAAUCCCUUCUUUCUAACUAUACCCCUUGGAUACCAAUUUAGCUUUAAACCUUUCUAUUUCACCAUCAGCUUUGUACUUUAUUUUGUAAAUCCAUCUGCACCCAAUAGGUUGCUUCCCCUCAGGCAGAGACACUACUUCCCAAGUGUUGUUUUGUUGUAAUGCACUAACUUCUUCUUUCAUAGCUUCCACCCACCUAGGAUCUGUAAUGGCCUCAUAAUAAGAUUUAGGUUCUGUGGAUGCUGAAAUAGCAGCAACAUAAGCUUGGUAUCUUGGUGCCAAAUGAGCAUAAGCCACAUACUUAGACAUAGGAUAGUCUACUGUUUCAUUCACACUUAAUGAAACAAAAUCCUUUAACCAGACAGGAGGAUUUCUAUCCCUGGCAGACCUCCUGGUAACCUUAUCAGGCAUCACAGGAACUCCCACUUGUCCAGCCUCUUCUGGCUGUGUGUUAUGAACUUCAUGUGUUGUUCCUUCAUGUGUCACACUAACUUCAGCCAUAUCAUUCAUACCACACUCACUAUCACAUGGAACAAACAGUUUGUUACCUGACUCACUGGUAUUGUUUUUGAAAGGAAAGACAUCUUCUUUAAACAAAACAUCUCUACUAACUCCUAACUUCCUUGUUUCUAGAUCAUAUAGAAUAUAUCCUUUCUGAGUCAUUGAAUAUCCCAUAUGCACCGUCAUCCUAGACCUUGGCUUUAGUUUAUCUACUUCCUGUACUACUUUAGCAUAGCAAAGACAUCCAAUGACUCUCAAAUGUGAGAGACAUGGUUUUUUGUUGUAGAACACCUCAUAGGGAGACUUGUUCUGUAAAACUGAACUAGGUAGCCUGUUGAUUAUAUGCACUGCAGCUAAUACACACAGACCCCACAAGUUACUAGGUAUAUCAGCUUGGAACUUUAGAGCCCUUGUUACCUCUAGUAGAUGCCUGUGUUUCCUCUCAGCUACUCCAUUCUGCUGAGGAGUAUAGGCACAGCUAGUCUGAUGCACUAUGCCAAAAUCCUUAAACAAAUCUCUGCACACUGUGUUGACAAACUCAGUUCCAUUAUCUGACCUUAUGACCUUAACACACCUACCAAACUGAGUUUUAGCAUACACAAUGAACUGUUUAAUGACCACACACACAUCAGACUUCAACUUUAAUAAGUAUACCCAAGUUAACCUUGAAAAAUCAUCCACAACAGUGAGGAAAAAUCUAUUACCAUCAAAUGUAGGCACUUUGUAAGGACCCCAAACAUCCAUGUGUACAAGAUCAAAGCAUGCUGAAGUUUGUAUACUACUUGUAGGAAAUGUAUUUCUAACUUGUUUUGCAUAAGGACAUACAGUACAAUUAUUCAAUGUAUUUGCUAUACUUUCAGUCUUUACAGAUAUAAGCUGGUUUAAGGACCUUGAGGAAGCAUGUCCAAGCCUUUUAUGCCACAGCUCCACAUCUGCAGCCUCCUCAUGAACAUGACUUUCUUUUACAGCAAAACCACAUCCACUGUUUAGAGACUGCUGCACCUUUAUACUUCCAGUAAGAAUGUACAGUCCAUUUUCCUCUCUACCAAUCUCCCUCACCCUUCCAUUGGAGAGAUCCUGAAAGAGACAAAAAUCAGGAAAGAAACUUACUGAACACCCUAACUCUUUUGUGAGCUUGGACACAGACAGUAAAUUGAUUUUGAACUGAGGAACAUGCAACACAUUACUCAAAGACGUCCUUGAAGUAAUACUACUAGACCCAGCAUGAGCAACUUUAGCCAUAUCUCUAUUAGGUAAAUACACUCCUCUAGACACUAUAGCAGGUUUAUCUAACAAGUUGACAUUUGCUACCAUAUGAUUGGUAGCUCCAGUGUCAACUAUCCAUUUCUGUAUAUUUUUAACUGCAUAAUCAAGCUGAUUCAUACCUGCUACAUUUGCUGACGGCACAGAGUUUGCAGUUGUAGAAGUGUUGUUGUCACUCAUAUUCUUCAACAGACUCACAAUCUGACUAUAUUGCUAUUUAGUAAAAGGAUACACUCCCACUUCAGAUUCUCUGUUCUGUGAAGGAAAUUCAGACUUAUAUGCUAUUCCUUUGUAGUUUGCCUUACUUCCUUCAGAUAUAUUCUCAAAUGUAUCACCCAUUAUAUCACAUUGUUCAGAAUCUUGGAACUGAUCAUCAGUAAUCACAUUAUGAGCCCUUGCAUUUGAUGGAUAACUACUAUUCCCUGCCUGUACUCCUUUCUUCCUGAACUUGUUAUAAUCAGAUGGAUAUCCUACUAACUUGUAACACACUUUCUUGGUAUGUCCUUUCAUUCUACAAAACUCACACUGUACAUUAUAAUUCUUUUUGUAUCUUGUAGAUCCAUUCCUUGUAAACAUAGCCAUAUCAAAAUUAUUUCCCCCUGAUGCAGGAUUAGCACCCAAGAUUCCAGAAUUUGCACUUAUAGACUUUUGUCCUUCAUCACUUAUUAUCAUUCCAUACGCCUGAUUGACAGAAGGCAUAGGACUCAUGAGCAAGAUCUGACUUCUUGCUUGAUUAUAAGAUUCAUUAAGCCCCAUGAGAAACUGAAACAAUUUUAACUUCUGCAAAUGUACUACAAAUCCUUUCGAUUUUUCGCAGUUACACCCAGGACUUGGGACAAGUGCUUCAAACUCUUCCCACAAAUUUUUCAGCCUAGAAAAGUAUGUAGAAACCGUAGCAGUACCUUGGCUCAAGGUAGCAAUCUCCUUAUGUAAAUUGAAAGUUCUUGAACCAUCAACCUUAUUGAACCUUUCAAACAACUCAUCCCAUACUUCUUGGGCAUUGGAAGCAUACAUUAUACCUCCUAACAACCCUUUUUCCACUGAGUUCAUAAGCCAAGACAAUACCACCGCAUUUACUCUUUCCCAGUGAUUCCCCAUUUCCUCUGGAAAUACUUCUUUCUUGCAGGAACCAUCAACUAAUCCCAAUUUGUUCCUUCCAAGCAAAGCUACCCUCAUGGAUCUAUACCAUAUUGAGUAAUUUUCAACCCCUGCUAGUUGAAACGAAAUAAUCUGUGUACCACUUACAUCAGAUUGAGAAAGAAACAGAGGAUGAUUGUAGUCGAUAUCAGUCUUUUGACUGGAUUGAGCAGAUUGCGUCUGUGUAGAUUAUCCUGCUUCCACUGUCAUUGUAACAACAGAGGAUAUUUAGAGAAUUUGACAAGUUCUUCCAACAAAAUUGAACAAUUUUUAUCUGCGUUACAGAUCGAUUCUUUCAACCAGAGUAACCAGUCGACUGCUCUGAUACCAUGAAAUUGUAUGAAGAAAGCGAUAAGAAUGAAUUGAAAUACUCAAAAGAGAAAGAGGAGAUAAGAGAGGAGAGGAGCGUAAGAAGAAACAAAUUUAGAUUUUUGUUAAUUUCAUUCUUUUUCAAUGCCUACUAGAAGAUUAUGAGUCCAGUUUAUAUAGACCUACUAACUGGACUUAAUUCUAACUAACUACAAUAGUUUACCUAACUACACAGUUAAUUAACUAACUUUCAAUAAGUUAGUUAACCUUGUAACUAACUUCUAACUAUUCACACUAUCCUUGAGACUUUAGGUUAUUCCUUCAAUACCUUUCAAUAAUGGUAAUCAUAUCUCAUGUAUCAAUACACAUUUCUUAUCACUUCGUAUCGUACUCUGUUGAACAUUAUUUUAAAUAUCCAACCCUCGAGUUUAAUUAAGAUUUGACUCUCAAUACGUCGAACUAUCUUAUUCCCAACUUGCUAGUCCUUCAACUCGGAAUUUUUAAUUUUGUUGAUUACUUUUUGUUAAGUCAAAAGUUAGCUUUUUGUUUAAUCAUGAAUGAUUAUUAAAGUUUAGUCACAGGCAGGGGCGGAUUUACGUAGGACGAAGGGGGUUCAUUCGUCGAAAAAUUACACUACAUAUAUAAGAUUAAAUUUUUAAUAUACGUGUAUAUAUAUAGUACUGAACCCCCUGAACAUACACCAAAGGCGUAGCUCAGUGGCGUUGGGGGUUCAGGAAUUUGCUCUACUGCACGUGAGAUCGCGUGUUCGAAUCCGGGCAGAGGCAUUUCUUUAUCAGCUUAUAUUUUAGGCGUUUUAAUUUAUUUAAAAAAUAUAAUAAUGCAAUCAGAAAAUGAUGUUUAGUUCCAAAAAAUUAAAAUGCUGAUUGGGAAUUUAGGAUUUAUUAGUUUAGUCCCUAAUUAUAAAAUCAAAUAUUAAAAAACUCUUUUCUUCUUGAUUCGAACAGUUUAAUCCGACCCGUUUAUAUCCGAUUCGACCCGUUUAAUUUAUUUGUGGAUAUUAUUUACGUGAUAAAUUAUUUUUUUUGAACCCCCUUGAUGAAAAUCCUCCCUCUGCCACUGGUCACGGGUAUAUAAAAUUCAAGAGGAACCAUACAUGCAUAAGAUAACAAAAAUGUACUAUAUAUAUUGAUUUGAAUAUGUCUCCGUAUUGUAUGUGUUGUGAUACAUGUAACACCCUAGAAUUUUUUUCGAACUAAGACUCGAAUCAUCCUUCGUUGUGAGUAGGAUUUUAUCAAGGAAUUUAAAAUUUCUUAAGUAUUAAGGUCAGGUCACUAGAUGUAGCACCUUGAGUUCUAAAAAGAAUUAAAUUGGAAAUAGCAAAAUCUGAAAUUUUGUAAGUUAUGCUUAAGUUAUGAGUUUUGGGUCAACUUCAAAUUCCCAUAACUUUCAGUAAAGGAUGAUUUAGGUGGACUACAAGAUAGCUAAUGAAAGGUCUUUAAAUUAUCCUUCCAACGACACCAAGUUUGCUAAAUUUAGAGCCCGAAUGAGGGAGAUAUGCCCGUUCAAAGUCAGGCUGUCCAAAUAAGGAAAGUUACCCGAAAAUAUGAGGGGUAUUUUGGCCUUUUCCUUACCCAAUAGGAUUUAAGCGUUUUUGGUAAGGUUUUAGGAGUCUAAACUGAUUAGAAUUAGUUUCAUUCACAUCCCCAAAAGCGUUUAGGGUUUUAGAGAGAAGAUUCAAGAGGAGAAAAAGUUCAAAGUUUCAAACGUUCGUUCAAGAAAUUCAAGAUUUCGCCAAGAACCUAGUUCUUUGAGGUAUGUAAGCUUCCAUAUUGUUCGGUUCGUUCACCCACACGCCAAUUAUGAUUUAUUCAGCGUAAUUUUGUUCUUGAAAUUUCAGGAUUUAGGUUCUUAUUAAGUGUUCUUGAAUUUUCCUUAUCGAUUAAGUUUUGAUGUAAGAUUCUACUUGGUCAAUUUCAAACGACCAUAUAUCUUAGAAUGUAAAGAGUUAUGUGAGCCAUAACCUUUGAAAUUAAAGGUAUUUGAAUCUACUUUCCAACACCACCAAUUUCGUGUCAAUCUAAUUUCCGAAUAAAAAGUUAUGACUAUUUUAGUAACCUAUACAGUGUUGUUAGGAAUUAGCCGACGGGAAAACAUUAAAAAGGGUUUUUUUUUUACCUCCAAGAAAACCCUAAACGAAUUUCUUGACUAAUAAAAGGCUCACUUCAACCAGAUUGUCAUCUUUUAAUCCAUCAUUCUCUUUUGUCUAAAACCCUAGGGCAAAAACCUUAAGGAAAAAUCAAAAUAGAAGACUCCAUUCAAGAUUCUUUCAAUCUUUUUCAAGAUUUUUCUUUAAGGUAAGUCUUUAUCCAAGAAUUCCAUUUUUUCAACUCAAAUUCCUCCAUACAAUCCUGAAUCACUAAUAAAAAUAAUAAUUUUUGGCCAUAGAGAUUUCAAGAAACUAAUUCAAGAAUCUCAAGAAAGGUUUUAUUGAUCGUUUACCUUCAAGCUAGGGUUUCAAGGCUUCUAAUCAAGUUCUUCUUCAAGAUUCUUGAAGAACCUUGUUCUUCCAGGUAUGUAACGCUAUCAUAGAGUUGGACUAGUUCGUCCUCACGCCCUACAUCUACUUUCAAAUCAAUAAAAAAGUAAUCUAGGAUACUUCCCCUAGAUUUGAGUAUUCUUGAGAUAAGUUGAUUUUGAGUUCUUGAAUUCCUGUUUCUUUUAAAAGUUCUAUUCUUAAUUAUCAAAUUGCUAUAUUGUUAUCGAGAUCCUUCAUAUCAUGAACAAUAACUCUUGAAGUCAUAAUUCACAUUCAAGGGAGAGUUAAGAGUAGAGUUCAAGUAAGUCUUUGAGUUCAAUUGUGGAUCCUUUGAGAUCAACUAUCGAUUUGAUCUAAGUUUUGAGGAAGUAAGUAUGAGAAUGAAAAGAGUCAUAUACAUGAGUUCUAUAUUGUUGUGUAGGCCCUCGAGUCGAGUCGUUCAUGCUUAUAAAUUCUGCAUGAACGCCAUAAUUGAGUGUAUUUGAGAGACGUAGCAUCUUCAAGUUCUAAGUCUUGAGCAUUGAGUUACUAAUCAUUUUGAGAUUAUAUUCCUACUUAUGGGACUACUACAUGUUACCCAUAAAGCCCUUGAGUUGAGUUGUUCAUGCCCAUAAUUCUGCAUGAACCCUAUGAGUCGAGCAGUCUAGAGAUGAGUAGUAUCAUUGAGUCUUGAGUUCUGAGUAGUGAGGUUCUUUAAUGUUAUUAAUAUCCCUGAGUUGAGUCGUUCAUGUUCAUAAUUCCACAUGAACCCUAUGAUUUGAGUUAUAAAUUUUAAAAAGCUUUUUAAAGCCAACAUUUGAGUUCUUAAAUUGAGUUUUGAGAAAGUAAAUAUGAGUUUUGAGAAAAGUGUUUUGAAAACAUGAUUAGUAUGAGAAUCGAGUAUGUCAUCAAUGUAUGAGCAGUAUGGUAUCAAGAUAUACCAUCAAUGUUUAUGCAGUAUGACUUCCCGAGUCAGCAAAGAUUAUAUUAUAAUAUGAUUUUGAAAUGUUUUUGAGAAAGAGCAGAGUUGAGUUCAUUUUCUUUAAAAUGAUAUAUGGGAACUAAGUAUUCUCAAGAGUAAAUGUUUUCACAUGAAAUUGAGAUUUCCAAAAGAGCUUUGAGCAGUUUGAGUACCAUCUCUUUUAAGAGAAUUUUUUUUUAGUAAUAAGCUCAAACCACAGAAAAGUUAUGUUUUUAAACAUAUGAGCUAAUAUAUUUUGGGAGUAGUAUUGAACACCGAAAUGGGGGAGAGUUCAGAUAACUGACAGUCCUCAUAAACCAUGUGGCCAACGUGGGUAGAAAGGGUCAUACUUUUUAGAUGAUUCCUUAAUGCUUUUAGCAUAGAAGUGGGUCCACUUAGUGAGUAGAUCUUAUACCCUGGCAAAGUAUAGGACAGUUAUGGCAGUGUGGGCGAGACGCUGUAUCAUCACAUAGCUCAUAGUGAUGGACAGUUCUGUGUACUUUUAUAUACACAUAGUUUACUUGUAUUUUCAUAUACAAAUAGAGUUUAUAAGUGGGUCCACUUAGUGAGUAGAUCUUAUACCCUGGCAAAGUAUAGGACAGUUAUGGCAGUGUGGGCGAGACGCUGUAUCAUCACAUAGCUCAUAGUGAUGGACAGUUCUGUGUACUUUUAUAUACACAUAGUUUACUUGUAUUUUCAUAUACAAAUAGAGUUUAUAUUGUAUCCUUGCAUACAAACAGAGUAUACUAUAUUCUUAAAUACAUUGAGUUGUUUUCUAUUGUUUAAAAAGCUUUCCAUAUAUUGCAUCUCUUAUUGUUGCUUUAUAUUGAGUUAGGUAUCCAGAGUUGAGUAUCCAGAGUUUGAGUACCGAAUAGUCGAGUGUCUUAUUAUUGAGUUGAGCCUUAUUUCACUGAGUUGAAUAGCUUAUCUUUGAGUUAAGUAUCUCAUUCCUGAGUUGAGUGAGUUGAGAAGUGGUAAGUAUGUCCUUAUUUCACUAACGAUUACAUAAUUUAGAAAAUUACAACCACAAAAGUAGUAUUUAAUUAGCAUAGUGUCAUAGACAAAAUGCAAAUGCCUAGUAUUAGACAGAAUGCAAUAAUUUUCACUCUAAUCGUUCAUGCAACUAUCAAACUUGUUUUCAUCUGCAAAAUUACAUAAAAAUAUAUAUAUUGUAGACCCAAAAAAUGUGAUAUGAAAAGAAUAGAAAGAAUAUUUCCUAAGAAAGGAACAAUACGAUAACAUGAAAACAAAAAUGUACUAUAUAUUAGGGGUGGGCAUAAAUAUCGAAAAAUCGAAACAAUCGAACCGAAUUAAUUUGGUUUUUCGGUUUCGAUUCUUCGGUUCGAUGUUCGGUGUUAACUUCAAAUAUUAAUUUCCAAGAGAAACCAAAACAUAUUUUUAUCAAUGUAUGGUAUACACUACAAGAAAAGUGUGAAUUACAUGGGGAUUUUCCUGGGGAUUAGUAUGAAAAUUUGCAGAAAAAUAAAUUUCUUACGGAUUUUCAUACUAAUCCCCAGAAAAAUUCCCAUGUAAUUCAUAUUUUUCUUGUAGUGGUAUGUAAAGAAAUCUGUCUUUCGUCUUUGUUUUUCUUGAGAAGUAGUUGGAGGUACAAUAUUCUUGACAAAGAUAAAUAUAGUCUUUUAGUUAGCAUAAUAAGUGUUCUAUGGCGAAACACAUCAUUCGUUUUCAUAAUUAUAUAAAUUUCAUCUAGCAACUAUUAUAUAGCUUAUUAUCAUAACGUUUUAAACAUGCAUGUUAUUUAAAUUUAAUUUCCUAGUACGUUGAUCUGUGCAGCUUUAUAUACAAAGAAUAAUUUUAUAAGAAAGGAACAAUACAUAAUUAGGUCAAACCAAAAAUGUACUGUAGUGGUCCACUCUCAAAAAGUAAAACAGAAAGCAAAUAAUAUCAUAAAAUAAUUGAAAUAUUUGACGGAAUAUAGACAUAAUUUCCACUGUAUUAUAUCAGAAAUUAGCUUCUCAAUUAAUCAAGAGCGGAGCUAAAAGUCUGAUGAUGGAUUUGACCAAAUAUUUUUUGUUUAAGUAGUGUAUUAAUUUGUAUUAAGAAACUUACUAAAUAUAUACAAUAUACACAUAUUAAGUUUAAAACUCAAUAAUUAACACUUGAAAUAGUCGUUAUGUAAUAUUUUAUGAGAAUUUCUUCUUUUUAUCGUGUUGAGUUCUUGUGAUAGAAGAAGUCAUGAUUAGGACAAAUAUAUAUACCAUAUUCUAUUUGCGGCAUUAUGUUUAUAUAAUAGCUUUACCUUAUAUAUUGUUAAUGCGUGAUAUUAUAACGAUGAAAAAUCAUACAACGUAUCCAAGCAUUAUAAUCAUAAUUAAAACAAUAUAAUAAUAAUUAAUAGAAAACACUAGACUAUUUAUUCAAGUACGAACACACAUAACGAUUGCAUAUAUAAUUUAGAAAAUCACAACCACAAAAGUAUUUAAUUAGUAGCAUAUAUAGUAUGAUAGACAACACAAUAUAUAUAUAUAUAUAUAUAUAUAUAUAUAUAUAUAUAUAUAUAUAUAUACUUUGUGGUCAUAUAUAAUUAAUGCUUCUUGCUAAGCUUUUGAUAGAGCAAUUUUGCCACCAACACAAUAGUUGUCAUACAACCUCCAAACUUCUCAUGAUCUGCAAAAUUAAUUAACGAUUUAAGAUUAUAUUAUCAUCACUCCGUCAAUAGUACAUAAAAAUGUACUAUACGUUACAUACCAUAUUUGUUGAUGAGAAAUUUGUAACAAUGGCCAAGAGAACAUCCAACGUUACACUUGCGAGUUUGAAUUUGUACGUUAUGAGUAGCACUUAUAGCACAAGCGACAGCACACGCACUCUUACAGUGUUUGUCUUCACCACACGAAGGCAUACAUUCCUCAAAACAUUCUUUCACGUCUCCAACGAUCUCACCAUUAUUCUUCGUAAACAAAAGAAUUGCAACCAACAAAACAAAUGCAACUUUUAAUGCCAUAAUUAUAUUAUAUUAUAUGAUACUUGAGAUGAAAAACAAUGGGUUCUCUCACACAACUAUUUAUAGAGAAAUAUAUAAUUAUCAUAACGUUUUAAUCAUGCAUGCAUCAUAAAGUUAGUUUAGUCACGGGAUGGCUAAAGAUUCUAAAAAAAACAAAAAUGUACUAUCUAUGAGUUAUCCACUUGAGACAAUUUAAAUAGGGUUGUGGUGGAGUGGUAAGAAUUUGGAAUCUCAAGGUGAAUUUUGAACUCCUCAACUACUAAGUCAAUCUCAAUUAAUUUUAUGUACUUCAAGAGAUUUAAAAUCUAUAUCAUAUUAUGCAUUUAGAAAAAUAAAAAAUACAUACCUUACAUAAACUUGCAUGAUUAGGAGUUUGAUUAAUGGAUUUCACAGAAGGAGGAAUAGUGGUGAUGAAUGGGGCUGAAUCAUCAUUAGUGUCAGAAGUAAAAGGCGAGCAAGACCAAGGCCCUAUCUUGCUUGAAUUGAAGGCAAAUGUUCAUAAGCAAAAAGUAUUAGCUUUUGAACUAGGGGGAGAUGGCAUACUGAGAUAUCAAGGUAGACUAUGUAUACCAAUGGUGGAUGGAACCCAAGAGAGGAGAUCAUGGAGGAAGCUCAUAGCUCCAGAUAUUCCAUUCAUCGGGGUUCCACCAAGACGUACCAUGACUUGAGAGAAAUCUAUUGGUGGGAUAGUAUGAAGAAGAGAUAUUGUCACACCCCAAAACCGGAUGUGAUGGCACGUGCCCAAACCCCACCGGACACGUAAGCCUAACACCCAAAAACCCGACGAUACAGAAUUUAUAAACAAGAAUAAGAUAGAAAGAUAAGCGAAAGUCUUUAAAUAAACUCAACAUAACCCCAAAAUUGGUUGUCACAUGUACAAACCUCUAAUACAGAAUCUGAAUAAAAUAUACAAGUCUCAUAGUAAAGUUCUAGAAUAGAACAGAACAGUAAAUAUAGAUAACUUGAGGGCACGUCUGGAAUGAACCGCUACCUCUCAAGUAAGUCUGGAAGCUCUAAUCUGAAGAUGAGUAAUAAGCCGGAUCUGAUAGAGCUGUCAACCUACACAACUGUGUAGAAGCAAGGGUGAGUACCAAAAGCAACAGGUACUCGCAAGUAACACUAAACUAAGCUAAACUAGCAGCUACAAACAACUCCUUUCAAUCCCAACCGAACCAACGAAACUUCAUUCUAACAUUGAACCAACAACCUAUACUACACAAUUCAUAAUCAACAGAUAUAUCCAACAGUAUCUCAACAUCAACCUCAUAUCCUCAUAUAAGAGCAAAUAGAUCAUAUAUCACAUGAAGAGGAGCAAGUAGGUAAAAUCCACACACCACAGACAAAGAUGAAGUCAAAUGCGAUGCAAAUGCAAUAAUGAUGUCAUGUAGUCGUGAUGCAUGUCUGUCCUAAGAUACACAUCUGUUGACGUAAUCAGACCGCGCUGAAUACUCAAAUCAGAACCCAUGGGGGCCACACAUGGACCAUGUAUCACCGCCGGAACCAGAUCCCAUCGGCAUCCAAAUCGCUAGCCGGAGCUAGUCCAUCUCAUAUAUCUCUAGCCGGAGCUAGUCUCAACUGUGUCUCAUAUCCAUCCAUCCUCAUAUCAGUGUCUCAGAACUCAUGCAACAGAUAGUUCACACAUGGGAUGAAUAAUGAAUAUGCACAUGUCAUCAAUCACAAUCAUAUCACGAUCACAUCAUAAUAUUACACAUCAUCUGUCUCAANNNNNNNNNNNNNNNNNNNNNNNNNNNNNNNNNNNNNNNNNNNNNNNNNNNNNNNNNNNNNNNNNNNNNNNNNNNNNNNNNNNNNNNNNNNNNNNNNNNNNNNNNNNNNNNNNNNNNNNNNNNNNNNNNNNNNNNNNNNNNNNNNNNNNNNNNNNNNNNNNNNNNNNNNNNNNNNNNNNNNNNNNNNNNNNNNNNNNNNNNNNNNNNNNNNNNNNNNNNNNNNNNNNNNNNNNNNNNNNNNNNNNNNNNNNNNNNNNNNNNNNNNNNNNNNNNNNNNNNNNNNNNNNNNNNNNNNNNNNNNNNNNNNNNNNNNNNNNNNNNNNNNNNNNNNNNNNNNNNNNNNNNNNNNNNNNNNNNNNNNNNNNNNNNNNNNNNNNNNNNNNNNNNNNNNNNNNNNNNNNNNNNNNNNNNNNNNNNNNNNNCUAUCCCCUCAAUAUCAGUUAUCACAUGACUUAUUCAACAAAUUCAAGUCACAUAUAACACAUUUAGCUCGUUUUAUUCCCCAUCUUUCAAUUACAACAAUUUCAAUCAACAAAUAAAACUCAUCCUCAAUCCCCAUUACUCCCCAACACAAUUAGGAAAGUAGUCAUGUGUAGUCUAAGAGUUUAACAAAGUUUAGAAGUCACUUGCCUCAAAACACUUCAACUAGUAACUCAAAUUUGAGUUUUACCCUUCCGAGCACGCUCCAAAUCACCACAAUCCAAUGAAUUCCUUGCGAAAACCCACUUGAAAUCACCUAUUUUCGAGCUCUCAAAGUCUAAAAAUGGAGAAAUGGGUAUUUUUCAAGUUGGGGGAGAAUGGCUACUGGUUUUUUACUUAAAAAUAAAUAAAUGGGCUGUGUUGCAGCUGAAACACAGCAAUAAGCCCAAAGUUUAAGUCCCCGUUGGACCCUCGUGAUUCGUUCGGAAUCUCGUGCACACAAACUAAAUAUGUAUCCCCACUAAAUUCGACGUUCCGGACUCAAUGGAACCGUCGGAAUUUGAAUUCGAGGACUCCUUGAUCCGAAAUUCAAUAAGAUGCCAAGAAACUAGUUUAACGCCAAAAAAAUUCGAAACUCAAACGGAGCGUCUAAAAAUUCAACCAAGAAUCAUUCUAGACUUAGAAUCGCCUCCCGAAACCAACGGUACUCUCGGAAUUUCAAUCUGAGCCUCGGAACCUCAUAUGUUGACCAAAGUCAACUCUUUAUCGAAAUUUCACAACUUUAGCAACUUAGGACCUCAAUUCUUCGUUUCAACUCCAAAUUCAACUCCGUAACUUCACACAGACCUGUUUCGACAUUCUAAAACCGCCGGAAUCGACGGAAAUCCGAUCCGAGUCACGAAACUCCAAAUGACUACGAAAAAGCUACUUUUAACCAACUUUAACUCAUAAAAACUUAACUUCUUAAAAACUCAACUUUUUACCAACUUUCCCUCAAACCAACUUUACAACCACAAAACAUGGGACUCGGGACAACUACCGAAAGGGCAAAAUAGUCAUUUCCACGAAAAAUUACCAAAAUGACCUUUCGGGUCAUUACUGAUAUAUACAACUCUUCGAACCCAAAGAAAUUCCAGAUCAAGGUACUAUUAAUCCUUUCUUAGUAUUUAUUUACAAGUUGGCAUGUUGUUUUGCAUUUGCUUGUGGGUGUUUGAACUGAAUGUUGCAUGUUACACCCUUAGCCUAGUAAGAGUAAUCUCAUUCGAGGAGGAAUGUUCCCAAGGGGGAGAUAUUGUAACAUCUCGCAAUUUGAAAUAGCUAGGAAGAAGCUAAGAGCUGGAAAUAGUCAUCUUUGGAAAUAAUGAAAAUCUGGAAAUUUGUUAAAGUUAGGAAAUAGUGAGUUUUUGGUCAACUUCAAACGGACAUAACUCCAAGCUCAGGAUGAGUUAGAUAUACUUCGAGAUAUGGUUGGAAAGCUCUUGGAAUGAUAUUUCCAACGCCACUGAGUUUUCGCGAUUCGGAGUUCGUAUGAGUGAGUUAUACCCUUUGAAAGUUGGGUUGUGCGAUUAAUGAAAGUCUAAUCCGAAUUUUUGAAGGGUAUUUCAGUCUUUUCCUUAUCCAAUUAAUUAAAUUCGUGUUAGUGAAUUAAUUAAGGGUCUAAACUGAACUUGGUCAGUUUUACGCUUUUUGGAAAAGAGUUAGGGUUUUAGAGAAGAGGAAAGAAGAGGGGAAAAGAGAAGGAGAAGCAAGGAUAUCGUCAAGUUUGUCGAGUUUGGCUUGUGAAUUUCGUUGGGGUGAUCCCUACAAGGUAUGCGAGUCUUUCAUAGCGUCGGGUUCGUUCACCCACGCGCCAAGCAUGUUUAGUUCAGCGAAAUUCGUCCUAAAAGAGUUUGAAAGUUGAUGUUCUUGACAUGUUGUUCUUGAAUUGGGAUGAAUUGAGGAGUUUCUGAAGAUCUUUAAGUUGAGUUUUAGAGUUGUUUUGAGUUAGGUUUUCUUGAGUACAUAUUCUGGGUAUCGGGAUCUAAAAUGAAUUUGAGAUCAAUAGUCGAGUUUAGGCGAACAAGGGCUGGAAAACGAAGAAGGAAAAAUCGAGAAGAUUUUGGCACGCAAGUUCGCGUCGCGGACUUGCUCCCCCAGUGCAAAAAAAAAGUUGCUCCGCGUCACGGUUAGGACGCGGACUCCUCUGUCUCAAAAUUUAAUUUCGCGACCAUUUAUUUAGAAACAUCUCCGCGUCGCGGACUUGUUCCAAGACGGUAAUUUCGUGAGCUUUACUCAUGUUUAGCUAUCUAAAAUCAUUCCUAAACAUCAUGAGAUAUUUCCUAUCACAAAUCUCAAUCCUUGAAUCCAUAAUUCAAUUCAAGAAUCAGUUAAGAGUCAAUUCAAGGAUCAAUAAAGAGUCAAGUCAAGAGAAGUUAAGAGUCAAGUAUCAAGAGAAAUGCAUAAAGUUUUUCAAAAGUCUUUUACAAAUGUUUUAACUUUGUUUAAGGUUUGAGUUUUGAGUUCAGUAAAGAGUAAAAUUGAAGUUUAUUUCUUCAAAAGUAUAUGGGAACUAGGGGUGUACAAAACCGAACCGAAAACCGAACCUAAACCGAGUCAAACUGGAAAAAAAACCUGACUAGUGGUUUGGUUUGACUUGGUUUGGUAUUGGAAAAAAAAACCCGACUAUAUGUGGGUUGGUUUGGUUUUAACUAAAAAAAUCAACUCGAGACCAAACCAACCCGACAUUAUAUAUGUAAUUUUAAAAUUUUAUUUUAUACAUAAAAAUAUUUACUUUGAUAUAAUUUUUCAAGUUUAAAACUUAAAAUUCGGAAUGGUCCAAUAAAGAUUAUAGUUCAUAGAUGUGAUAAUUAUAAUAAAACUUAAAUCAAAAUCAAAUUAAUACUAAUGCAAAAAGAAAAUCAAUUCAACACUAAGAAUGACAAUANNNNNNNNNNNNNNNNNNNNNNNNNNNNNNNNNNNNNNNNNNNNNNNNNNNNNNNNNNNNNNNNNNNNNNNNNNNNNNNNNNNNNNNNNNNNNNNNNNNNNNNNNNNNNNNNNNNNNNNNNNNNNNNNNNNNNNNNNNNNNNNNNNNNNNNNNNNNNNNNNNNNNNNNNNNNNNNNNNNNNNNNNNNNNNNNNNNNNNNNNNNNNNNNNNNNNNNNNNNNNNNNNNNNNNNNNNNNNNNNNNNNNNNNNNNNNNNNNNNNNNNNNNNNNNNNNNNNNNNNNNNNNNNNNNNNNNNNNNNNNNNNNNNNNNNNNNNNNNNNNNNNNNNNNNNNNNNNNNNNNNNNNNNNNNNNNNNNNNNNNNNNNNNNNNNNNNNNNNNNNNNNNNNNNNNNNNNNNNNNNNNNNNNNNNNNNNNNNNNNNNNNNNNNNNNNNNNNNNNNNNNNNNNNNNNUUUAUUAGUUUGGUUUGAUUUAUAAAUUAAAAUUUUUUACACAAAUGGUUUGGUUUAAUAUUUGAAAAACCCGAACCAACCCGGUCAUGUACACCCCUAGUCUUAUACAUGAUUCCUCUUUUUUACUGUAUUAUUGUGAUUUAUAUUUCCCUUCUUCUUCUUCUUUUUCUCAUUAUCUCCGUAAUUAUUUUUUACUUUCGUCGUCUCAAGAAAAUAAUCUUCAUUGAUUGUUUAAAAUUUGAAUUAAUGAAAAUAAUCAUUACAGAUCUUUUUGCAUAUUAUUUUCAGAUCUCUUAUAGGUAAAACUGAUAUAAAAUAAAAAAUGCAAUGCAGAAGUACAGAACCCCUAUACAAUCCCUAUAGAGAAGUAAAAAUGUCAGAUGAAAAGUUGGUUCUCUAGAAAAUUAGGUUAUUAUAAUGAAAUGUUGUUAUAAUCAAUGACUUUUAUAACGAGAUUUGACCGUAUAUUUGUAUAAACUUCUCAUAAAUUUAACAACAUUAUCUUCUAAGUUUAACAACAUACUAUUAUCAUAAUAUUUUAAUCAUGUAUGUUAUGAAACUUAGUUAGGACAUAUUUGUACUAUAAGAUUCUAAGGUAUUAAGAAACAAUACAUAAGAUAAAAACAAAAAUGUACUAUGUAUCAGCUGUCUACUUAUAAACUUAUUUUACUGUUGUUUAUUUUAUUUUGAUUUUCAAUUGUAACGACCCUUCCUUUCGUUAAAAAUGAAUUCUUUAUAAAGAUAAGUAGUUUUUCAGCGCAGAAUUCUUCGUAAAUGUAAGUAGUUUGACAAGUUGAAGGUUUGAUAAAGUCCCUUAACGUUAUUAUUUAGAUUAUGGCGUAACUUUGAUAUUUUACACUAUCGAAUCUACUAAAAGAUAAAUGUUCAUAACAAGUGAGAUUAGUAAUCUAUGAAAUAAGACAUGUAACCUGGUACAUGCAACAUGUUCACCGAUAGUGUAAACAUUCUUUAUAUUGUCAACAUAUAUAAAGUAUGUCAACUCUAGUAUAUACUCAUUGUUAAUUUUGUCUCUAAUACAAUGUAAAAUAUACAGCAUAUGGUACCUUCAUUUCAUUUGACUACCUUGGUUCAAGUUUACCUUAUAAGUAGCCUAAUUGUGUAAAUAUCAUUUACAUUGAGUCUUUCUGAAAAGAUUUGAGUUUUGACAUAUAUAUAUAUACCAACAAUGUGAAAAAGAAAAUAAAACUGCACUCUUGAUUUUCCACGAUUUCUAACGCUAAAGGUAAGGAAAUUACUCCCCUAAUCCGUAUUUCAAUUCCUAAAACUUAGAAUCUUGGGUAAUUAUCAUAGGGGAAGGGUUUUGGCCUGAAGUUGAUAGAAAAAGCCCUAAUUGAAUAUUAGGAUCUGGGUUUGGUCUUGGGUUAAUAAUUGUGUUAUUUUUCGGAUAAUUUAGACCUUGUUUAUUGAUCCUUGCGUAAAUUACUCGUUUAUAGACCAAGAUCAAACAGAAAGAAUCCGGAAAGGGAAGGAUCAAGUGUCUUAGGACGAUUUUGUUGGGUUCGAAAGGGAAUAUGAUGUCAUGCGGAAGCUUACAAUUGCAAAUCAUUAGAUUGAUAAAUUAGAUGAAAGAAAACUUAUACUAAAAACAUAAUAUUAUUAUAUGAAAACUAAUAUAAAAGAAAAAUAUUAAAACUAUUGAGAGAAUAAAUCUCCCCAUAAACAAAAGUCUCUAAACGACUACAUUGUGGAUUCUAUUGUGUUAUGCUAUGAGAAUAGGAAUCUUCAAUUUAUAGAUCUCCAAACUUUUCCUCUAAGGAAAGAAUAAACCAAAUAUGGAAAGAAAAUUAUAUUUUCCUUUCAGAACCCUAACAAAUUCAAGCUUGGUUUCGAGGUAGGUGAUGGUUCGAAUUCCUGUUUGUGUGAUGUAUGUCGUAGAUUACUUCAUAGUAUGCAUGUGUGUAUGUAAAUAGUGAAAUGUGAAUCAAAUCUAAUGAAUGAUUAUGUGCGAACAACUACAUGAAAUGAACCUAGUACUUGAUCACGUGACUAUAUGUACUAUUCCUUAUGGAGUGGUUCUGAUAGUGGUUGUGCUGAUUGGAUCGGGUGUCACGUUUCGACACAUGCAUAGAAUCGAGUGUCACGCUUCGACACAUAUAUUGGACCGGAUGUCACGUUUCGACACAUACAUUGGCUCGGGUGUCACGUUCCAACACACUAACAGUUUGGGUGUGGUUCCAUGAGAGGACCACUUGUGAUUAUUAUGUUCAUAUCUAAUUGGCAUUGAUGUUGGGAGAUUGUAUGUUGCUCUAAAAUGAUAAUUGACUUGUGCAUUCCGUAUAUGUGUUGACUGUGUUGUAACUGCUUGUGUAUAUUGUGCUUACUAGGGUGGUCGUGUGAUCCUACCAAUACACUGUGGUUGUGUACUGAUACUGCAUUUGCUAGUUCUUUGUUCAGUAUAGGGCAUCUUCAGGCGACUACUGACAGACCUCAGCUAGGGGAUCAUUGAUCGAAGACCGGAUUUAAGGGUGAGCCAGUUCUUCCAGGCUGUUGUGGAUCCUUCAAUUGUUUAGUCCAUUCUUUUCGGACUCAGACUGCUUAUUGAGACUUUUACUUAUGUUAGAUUCGGGGUUGCACCCCCAUUUUUUUAGACUUGUCGUUUCGUAGAGUUUUGGUACAUUGACUUUCAGGUUCUAGAGGUUGAAUUUCCGCAAUAGUUAUGUUUAGUUGCUUAUUUAAGCUUUCAGAGUUUAUGGGAACUCCGUGUUUUUGUCAUUUAAACCUGCUUCCGUAUCUUUAAAUGCUUAGUUUUUCGUUAAGUUGCUUAGUUGGGUUGUAGUAAUGGUUCUCCCACCGGAGGGUCAGUGUGGGUGUCAAUCACGACAGUCUGGAUCGUGACAGCUAGAGGCAUACAUUUGUGACAAUAAUUCUUCCAACACUUGUUCUUAAGCUUUCUUUAGAGCAAUUAUUUUCACUGUAGUCGUUCAUGGAGCUAUCAAUCUUGUUUUCAUCUGCAAAAUUACAUAUAUAUAUGGAUUCAAAGCUUGUAGACCCAAAAAAUGUGAUAUGAACAGAAUACAAAGAAUAUUUCCUAAGAAAGGAACAAUACAAUAACAUGAAAAUUGAUGGAAUUUCAUUUUGAGACUCGUAGCUACGAGUGUGGACCAAAAAACACUUUUAACAACUUAAAACCUCCUAAACUCUAAAACUUCCAAAAAUCACAACUUUUCGAUUCGAUUUCAAACCUAAUCGCAUAAAAGGAUCCAACAUGACCCGGAGUUACUAUGAGGAGGGGUACAACGGUAAUUUUUCAAAAUUUUCUAAAAAUGACCUUCAGGAUAAGUGUACUGCAAGUGUUUUUUUUUUUUUUUGUUUUUUUGUAUAGUUUGGACUCACCUUAAUAAAAAUGUCGACUUAAUCACAAGAUAUUUGACAUUAAAUAUUAUUUUAAGUUUGCAAAUAAUUCUUUUUCAAUUUCAUCAUGUUAUUACAAUAACGUUUUAAUGUUGCAUAGUAAUUAUUAUUUAAUUAAUUUCCAAGUACAUCGAUCCGUAUGUUGGGUUUUAUUUGCCUUGAAUUUCUUACCAUAAAUAGGUUUUCCUUUUAGGAAAAAGGUUUUGGAUUGGCUAGUCCUUUUCUGGUAGGAAAAAGUUUUAGGACUUUAUAAAUAUAGACUUGUUCCUUCUAACUUAAUCAGCAUUCACAAUGUAGUCUUAAGGGUCUUUGAGAGUUUUGGUUUGGGGAGUAAUUUGUGGGUCACAAGCUUGAUACGUUAUCACUUGUGUGAACCUCCCAUGUAUUUCGAGUGAAUUGGUUGAGGUUAUUUCUCUCUAUAUUUUGUACUCUCAUGUUUAUAUAGUGGAUUGCUCAUCUCCUUUGUGGACGUAGGUCGAUUGACCGAACCACGUUAAAUCUGUCUCUUUUGGUGUGUUUCUCGUUUGUCUUCUAACUCGUGGUCUUUCGAGGUUUGCUUUGCUAGCUUCCGCGUUACACCUGCUUCUUUCUGUCCUAACACCGUACACCUUUAUUCACGAGAUAUCUGUGAUGAACAAAAUAUGUACAGAGAAUAUUUUUUCUAUACAUAAGUGGUCCACUCUCAACAAGUAAAAAAUAAAUUGAGUAAUAUUAUAAUAAAUUGAAAUAUUUGAUGGAUAUUGUUUAGUCAAAAAGUUAAACUUUUUGUUAAAGGAUUAUUAUAGACAUAGUUUCCAAGAAUUUUAUCAGAAAUUCACUUCUGAAUUAGGGGAGGAGCUAGAAGUACAAUAACGGGUUCGACUGAUUUUAAUAACUUUGGCUUAAGUAGUAUAUUUUUAUUAAGAAAUUUAUUAAAUAUGGCUGCAAAACUUCUUCAAUGUUGAGGAGUGUUUUGUUUUAUCAACUACUUCAUUUUAUGAGAAUUUCUUCUUUUUAUCGUGUUGAGUUCUUGUGAUAGAAGAAGUCAUGAUUAGGACAAAUAUAUAUACAUAUUCUAUGUGCGGCAUUAUGUUUAUAUAAUAGCUUUACCUUAUAUAUGCACGUCAUUUUUAAAAAAAAGAAUUGUCUUUCAAAUUGUUAAUAUGCGACAUUAUAACAAUGAAAAAUCAUACAAUGUAUUCAAACAUUAUAAUCAUGAUUAAUAUAUUAUAAUACGAUACAGUACAAUAUAUAUAUCUCCUAUUUACUUCGUUUGUUGUAUAUUAAUGAAUGUGGUAGGAGUCGAUCUAUUAUGUACGUCCCUUAAUCUAUUAUCACUUUAAUUUGUGUAUGUCAUAGGAUAUAUUUAUAGUUUAAAUGAAAAACAUCGGUUAGGAAUUGUAUAAUAAUAAUUAAUAGGAAACACUAGACUUUUAUUCAAAUACCAACACACAUAACGAUUACAUAAUUUAGAAAAUUACAACCACAAAAGUAUUUAAUUAGCAUAGUGUCAUAGAUGACACAAUAUAUAUAUACUUUGUGGUCAAAAUUAAUGCUUCUUGUUAAGCUUUUGGUAGAGCAAUAUUAUUAUCAUUGUCAUUAAUACAAUAGUUCUCAUUGCAACUUGUCAUGCACCUUCCAAACUUUUCAUGAUCUGCAAAAUUAAUUAACGAGUAAUUAGGAGUAAGCAGCUAGCAUGUGUUGAAAUAAUAAAAACAUGUUAAAAUCCGACUAGUGUUAGGUACGUUACAUACCAUAUUUAUUGAUGAGAAAUUUGUAACAAUGGCCAAGAAAACAUCCAACAUUACAAACGCGAGUUUGAAUUUCUACGUUAUCAGUAGCACUAAGAGUAAGUGAUGGAUGUAUAGCACAAUAGGCACCACACCCAACCUGACAUGGAAGGCUAAUAAAGCAAUCACGAUCAUGAAUACACAGUGUAAAUAGUCUCCAACAAUCUCAGCAUUAAUAUUCUUCGAUCGUAAACAAAAGCAUUGCAAGGAACAAAACAAAUACAACUUUUAAUGCCAUAUAUAAUAUUAAUUAUUUUAUAUUAUAUGAUACUUGUUAUUUGGUAUUUGAGAUGAAAAACAAUGGGUUCUCUCACACAACUAUUUAUAGAGAAAUAUAUAAUUAUCAAAACGUUUUUAUCAUGCAUCAUAAAGCUAGUUUAGUCACGGGAUGUAUAAAGAUUCUAAAAAAAAUAAAAAAAAUGUACUAUCUAUGAGUUAUCCACUUGAGACAAGUAAUUCAAAACAAAUCAAAGUAUAGAUGAUAAUUUAAAUAGGGUUGUGGUGGAGUGGUAAGAAUUUCUUCGUCGAGGUUUUGAAUUUGAAUCUCCUUGGAUACGGAGUCCCCGCUUUUACCCCCCUAGAAUUUAUGGCGCGAAGUCUAAUUUAGUCGGGCAUUAAAGUGGAUAUCACACACUGAAUGGAAAAUCAAGAAAAAAAAAAAUCAACCACACAAAUAUUAUCUCAGAAUUUCCAACUCAAAUCAUAUUACAAAGAAUAUUUACUAAGAAAUAGGAACAAUACAAUAAGAUGAAAACAAAAAUGUAAUAUGCAUUUGUGGUCCACUCUCAACAAGUAAAAUCAAAUUAAAUCAAGAUAUUUUUUGGAUUUGUGUUGGCAAUGAAUCAAUGAGUUCUUGGAAAAAUAAAAAUGUAGUGUUUAGAAUUUGAAUUUGAAAUCUCAAGGUGAAUUUUGAACCCCCUUAACUACUGAGUCAAUCUCUAUUAAUCUUAUAUACUUCAAGAGAUUCAAAAUCUAUAUUAUAUUAUGUUAGGACCGAAAUAAGCAGGUGUAAUGCGGAAGCUAGCAAAGCAAACCUCAAAAGACCACGAGUAAGAAGACAAACGAGAAACACACCAAAAGAGAUAGAUUUAACGUGGUUCGGUCAAUCGACCUACGUCCACAAAGGAGAUGAGCAAUCCACUAUAACUAUGAGAGUACAAAAUAUAGAUAGAAACAACCUCAACCAAUUCACUUGGAAUACAAGGAGGUACACAAAAUUCUCCUCCAUAACCGCAACUCUCAAAACCCUAGGACUACAUUGUGAAUGUUGAUUAAGUUAGAAGGAACAUGCAUAUAUUUAUAGAGUCCUAAAACAUUUCCUACAAGAAAAGGACUACUCAAAAUAUUAAAACAUUUUCCUAAAAGGAAAACCUAUUUAUGGUAAGAAAUCAGGGAAAAUAAACCCAACAAAUCUCCCCCUUGGCCUAAAUUUCUGACAAAAUAAAUUUGUCCACCUUCUUCACAUAAUCUUUAGGAUGUUGCGUCUCUUAUCCAUAAUCUCCUCCAUCAAAUCUACGUCUCGACACAAAGAACCUCUCUGAAACAGUUUCUCCAACAAAAUCUUCAUUACUGUCAAAAAGGUUGCGACUAGAACUACACCCGUCAAGAUGGCUAGCAAAGCAAACCUCAAAAGACCACGAGUAAGAAGACAAACGAGAAACACACCAAAAGAGACAGAUUUAACGUGAUUCGGUCAAUCGACCUACGUCCACAAAGGAGAUGAGCAAUCCACUAUAACUAUGAGAGUACAAAAUAUAGAGAGAAACAACCUCAACCAAUUCACUCGGAAUACAAGGAGGUACAUAAAAUUCUCCUCCAUAACCGCAACUCUCAAAAACCUAGGACUACAUUGUGAAUGCUGAUUAAGUUAGAAGGAACAACCCUAUAUUUAUAGAAUCCUAAAACCUUUCCUACAAGAAAAGGACUACUCAAAAUAUUAAAAUAUUUUCCUAAAAGGAAAACUUAUUUAUGGUAAGAAAUCAGGGCAAAUAAACCCCAAGUACAUAUUAUGCAUUUAGAAAAAUAAAAAAUACCUUACAGAUAUUGUAUAAUUUUUUGCCGAGCAAGUUUGGUGAACCCUUUCGCUACCCUCUAGACCCACCCAUGCAUGUCAAGUAAGACCCAUUUAAGGGGGAAGCACUCCCCUAAUGAGAUUUUUUUUCUGUAUCAAAGGCUCGAAUCCAAAAUCUUUAAUUAAAUAUAUAAAAAUUACAUCAAUCCCAUCAUUAAUUUUGUAUCAAAAGCUCAAACUCAAAAUCUUUAAUUUUAUUGAUUACAUUUUGUUAAGUAAAAAAAUUAGCUUUUUGUAUAACCAUGAAUGAUUAUUAAAGUUUAGUCACGGGGAUAUAAAUUAAUUCAAGAAAGGACCAUACAUCCAUAAGAUUACAAAAAUGUACUAUAUAUGUAUCAGUGGUUUGAUUCCUCUUUUGACUGUAUGGUGAUGCUCUUUCUUUCCCUUCUUUCACCAAUUAUUUUUUAGUUCUCAGUUUUCACCGCCUCGAAAAAAUAAUCUUCUAUGAUCACUUAUAAUUUAAAUAAUUAAAAAUUAUAUUUUCCAAUCAAAUAUGUUAUUUUUAGAUUUCUGUAAAAACUAUAUAUAAUCAAGAAUGUGAUGGAAAAUUCUCGUUCGAUCAGUAGAAACACCUUAAUUCGUGAUUAUUUCAAAUGAACUGUUCCACUAUUUCUCCAUUUGAGUGCGUAAACCAUAUUUUAUUGAGUUUGGGGAAUUUGGCUUCUUUAGACUUAUAUUGAUGUCACGCCUCGGGCCUAUACUCUAGACGUGGUCGGCACUCGAGAACCAUUGGUGAUCCCCAAGCAAAUGACGUGGCUGACUACUUAGCGAAAGACUUACUCAAGCAUUUUUAGUUUUAAAUAACUUAAGGGGAAACAUUUAAGUCAAAAUAUUGUCUGAACUGUUUGAGAAUACUGAAUGUAAAUAGUAAUAGUUUAACAAAAUAUCUGAAGAUAAAUAUCGAGAGACCCUCUAACAUUGUCUAUCUAUGAAGCCUCUAUUGUUUGAGAUAGGCGUCUGGACAGACCCACGACAACCUAAAAUAAAACUAUUAAAGCAAAUAAAUGAGUGGAGUCCUCCGAAAGCAAGGAUGCCUCACCAAACAUGGGUAAGAAGUUGGGUGAUAUCAACGAUGCGCAUGUUGAUGAUUCUGAACACCUAUAUCUACAUAAUAAGACGAUGCAGGUUGAAUGACAUCAGUAUAUUGAAUAUGUAAUAAGGCUGAGUGAAACAAUAACUGCACUGAAAGACUGAAAUAUAACUCAACUGAAGUAAAGCAUGCAUAUGAGAUAAAUUCAUUUAAACUUCACAAAUUAAAUGCAGUAAUAGCAAAUUCUGAACUAAACUGGAAUAUAUAUAUAUACUUUUUACUUUACUGGGGAGUUUCUCUAACCGACAACCAUCACUAUGAGCCUCGUGAUGAUACAACGUCUUACCCACGUUGCUAGAGCCGCUCUUUACCUUGCCAGAGUAUAGAAUGCAAACGUACUGAUGGAUCCACUAAAAAACCUCCCUGAGGCAGGUGAGGAGUCGCCCGUCUUACGGUACGAUCUUAUAUACGAUGGCUACGUAGUUUAUGGGAUUUGAGUUGUCUGAGCUCUUACCCCAUAUCGAUGCUCAAUACUACUCCCAAUAUAAUAUACUUAUAUAGUAAGCUCAUAGUUUGAUAAACUAUCUGUCUGUCUGAAUAAAGGGUGAAACCAAGCUCAAAUAUGUGAGUCAAAGCUCAAAUCUUUCUAAGAUAUAUCUUUCAAAGUCAUGUAUAUAACUUAAAUCAUGAGAAAGUUUCCUAGCUUGCAUAGCUCCUAAGUAUUCGUAAUUAAUUUCCAUAAUAGCAUAAAGACUCUAAAAUCAUGCUUUGAAAUAUAAGCUUCAUGAAAUCAUAACAAAUGUCAUGUCAACAACUCACGAGAAUAACAAUGUAAAACCUAACUAAGUAUAAAAAGGAAGUACAUAGAUCAAGAAUCUUUAAUCUUAAUAAUUAAUUUAAGCAAAUCGUGAAAUUCGGGUCAAGAUUAUGGAUGAACUUGAAAGUGGGUUUGACAACCCUAAUUAUGGAAUUUAGUUCAUGAACAUUGAUAAAUCUUUGAUAUGAGGAUGAAAGGAAUUCCUCAUUGAAGUAUUACAUACCUUAAUCGCUCCAAUUACCGAAGAAAAGAAUGAUCUUGGAAGAAGAAAACCUACGAAACGUCUUUCUGGAACCUUGGAGAUGAGUAGGAGAUUUCUUGAAAAAUCUAUGAAUUUCAUGAGUAAGAGUCAUUAAUUCGUGUUAAGAUGAAGAAAUUAAGAAGUUUUGUGGUUAAAUCUUACAUUGGAUGAUGGAUGAACCUUGGAGGAAGUUAGCUUCUUGAAAAUUUUCUUUCUAGGGUAAUUUUAUGAACUAUGGAGGUGAAUCAUGUUUUUGGAGGGUCAUUAAAGCCUCAGAUGCCCGUGCGCUCACAUGGAAAACGCCUCAGGCGCGCAGCCAACUGCACAAGAAUGCAGUAGCUACUGCCUCGGCGCUCGCCCGUGCGGAAAUUGCCUCGGUCGCGUGGCUGGCGCAUGGCAAGACAUUGUCCAGUAAAAAGAGCAUAACUUUUUACUCCAAACUUCAAUUGAUGCAAACUUGGUGGAGUUGGAAAGAAGACUCAUAGAUCUUUAAUUUGAUAGGUCGUGGUUCACCUAGUUCUUUAUAGACAGAAAGAUAUGGUCAUUUGAAGUUGACUCUAGCGUAAACUAACGCGAAAAACUUAGACUUUGAACUUGACUUAGUGUUAGAGGUCCCUUAUGACCAUAAAUCACUUAUGAUACCCUUGAUACACUUGGUAAUGGACCUUAAAACACAUGAACAAGUAAUACAUCACCCGGUUCAAGCUCAUAUACUUAAGACGAACGAUUCAUGUUCUAAGAGUAAAGUUGCGAGGUAUUACAAUUGAUUUGAAUGCCUCCCUGUUGUAUGUGUUGUGGUGCAUUCAUCCUUAUUCAUCAUACAAUUGUUCAUGAAAAUCUAUAAAAUGUGGUAACACUGUUUCGAGAAAGAAAAAUAAGACACCUUAUAUAUCCUUGACCACAAGAUAUGGUGACAAGCUUUUGGUAGAGCAAUAUUAUUGUCAUUAUCAUAACGUUUAAAUCAUGCAUCAUAAAGUUAGUUUGAAUCUCCUAAAGUAAGGAGUCACCUUUAAUUUGUUGGGGAACGCUUUUAUCCCCUAAUGUGGGACUUUAUGACGAAAAUCUGGAUUUAGUCGGGUUUCAAUAUGAGUAUCAGAUAUCGAGAUGGUAAACAAAAAGAAAUUGUGUGUUUAUACACUUUGUAUGUUUACUUAUUUAUAUUUUUACUCCCAUAAAAGUUUGACUCCGUCACGUUCACAUUUGAAAAUCAAUUUCCUUUUUUUUGCACAUUUAGUCACGAGUGAUACAAGAGAAUUACGUUCUAAGAAAGAAACAAUACAUACAUAAAGGGAAAAUUACACUAUUCCUCUUUUUUUUCCUCACUCUCCUCAAUUAUUUCCAUCUUUGUUGUAAGCAGAAUAUUGUUAUCGAAAAGUUAAAUAUAACAUGAAAAAUUUGUUGUCUAGAAUAUCAUAUCAUUAUAGUUAAAUAUUGUUAUAAUUAAUGACUGUUAUAACGAGGUUUGACUAGUAUUGUAUAUACUAGAUAGUUUUUAUUCGUGCUAAGCACGGACCCAACAUUUAAAUUUUGAUAUAAUUUUGUUUAUUUUUAUUUACUUUAGAAAUGUGAUUAAAAUUUGAAAUAGCAAUAAAUACUUUUAAUAAGCAUAAUUUAAAAGAACAUAACUUCCGCCAUUUAUUGAAGAAAACAAUUGGAGUACAUAAUAUCAUUUUGAUCAAUAAUGUCAGUAUAAAAAUUGUGAUAAAAAUAAAUUUGAAUACUUAUUGUGCGUGUUACAUGUAUUCAUACAAAGGCAAGCAAAUCAUCAAUGUAAAUUUUCCAAAUCGGUCACAAUAUUUAUUUGACAAAAUAAAUUUGUCGAGAGCAUUAUGUUAAUAUAAAUAUCUAUUUGAUUAUAUCAUUCAUAUAAGGCACCCUUUUUUUGAAUUAGCAUUUUUCCAAUGAUGAGUCUUCUCUAUCCAAUAAACCAACAUCCUCACAAGAGAAAAGAAAAAAAUUCACGUAAGAAUAGAGAAGAGCAACAAACAAAAAUGUUGACAUGGGUAAUAUAUUUAUGAAUAAUUUUCAAUACUUCCAUUUCACAAACAACAAACUUAGAAAAUCAUACAAUAUCCACACAUAAAACGUUAAAAAUAUUUUCAUUUGAAUUCUCAUGAACAUAUCAUAAAUCAUUAUACCCUAUUACCCUUGACCGUUCACUUCUUCACUUCUUCAACGUCGACAUACACCUUAAUUAAUACUCCAUCCGUUUUAAAAAAAUAUAUCUUUUCAAUCUUAUGGUCCUAAAAUAAAAUUAUGUCAAAUAUACAAAAAUAUUUUUUAAUCUUAUAACCUUAAAUAUGUUAGAAAAAAAAAUGAUCAUUCUUUUCGAAAGAGACCGAAGAGGAACGUAGAUCAUUCUUUUUAAAAAAGAAAGGAGUAUUAUUAUAAGGUCGUUAAUUUCUUCAAAUCUUCAACAAUACAAACCUUAAUUAAUAUUUCAGCCAAAGCGUCUAACCAAAGAUCUCAAUGGAUUAAACAUGCUGCUAUUUCGUUCAUCACACAAUGAACUCUGAAAAUUGGGCUUCUAGACAUAAUUAUUUGGGUGAAUGUUUUUUCUCCCUCCGUUCACUUUUACUUGCCACUUAUUUCUAAAAAGAAAAAAAUAUUUUACUUAUAACUUUUAACAUAUCUGUAAAAAAAAAAAAUUAAUUUUUUCAUAUUUUACCCUUAGCAUUAAAUAUUAUUUUUCAAAUCAUUUUCUAAUACCUAGUUACUAAACAUCAAGUAAUAGGAAUAGUGUGGUUAGAUGCUUAUAUCAAUAACUAUUUUUAUUUCUCAAUAAAUAUGUCAAGUCAAAUACUGACAAAUAAAAAUAAACGGAGAGAGUAAUAAAUAAAGUAUAAAGAUUUACGAAAAUUUUGUAUUUUAAAUUUCAAUUAAUAUGAAGUCCAUUGAGAAACUUCCGCAUGGCUUAGAUAUAAAAUCACAUUGAUAUAAUAUGUUCAUAAGUGUUUAUUUAUAAAGAAUAAGAUUUGAUUCUCAUCAUCAUAUGAUAUAUUACAUUAAUUAUAUUGUAGGGAUUAUUAAUUUAAAUGUAAAAUUUUAAACCUUUGAAUUUAAGCGUUACAUUCAAAAUAAUUAGUAAUUCAUUGUGAAAUUGUAUAGAAAUAUAAUACCCCAUCGUUUCAAAUUAAUUAUUAUUAUUCACCUUUUGAGUGUGGAUUAAACAAUCUUCACAACUAUAUUGAAUUGAAUCAACUCAAUAAUUUAUAUUUAAAAUAUAUCCAGAUAUUUAAAAAAUACAAAUUGUAACCUUUUCUCAUAGCAAUUUAAUGAAAAAUAUAUGUUAAAUUGUAGAUCAAAGUUUAUAUGAUUGAUUUUUGAAAAACGAUCAUGACAACUAAUUUGAGAUAGAGAAAUAUUAUUUCUAUCUAAUUAACGUACACUAUCACAUUUUCAUUUGCAAAUACAUUUUUUUUAAUCAUACACACACUAUCACAAUUUUGUAUAUCCUCAAAUAAAAAAAAUUGGGUUAAAAUGUUUUAACUUUGUUUAUUUUAAAAAGAAAAAAAUAAAUUUUUAGUUAUAAAGUAAUUGUGAAACGGAAAAGAAUUUUUUAAAAAAGAAAAACAAUAUGAUUCUUUCACGACCCAAAAAUGGACGUGAUGGCACUCGUCUUAUCCUACCAAGACAAGUCAGCCUAAAACUCAACCAUUACAAUAAAAUGCAGAAAUUUUAUAAUCAACUUUAAAAUACCCCCAAAAUCUAGUUGUCACGUGUACAAGCCUCUAAAGUAUUACAAUUGAUUCAAAAGAAAAACACAAGUCUCAAAUGACAUUGUUUCUAGAAUAAAACAAAAUCAUAAAUAGGAGUAAGAAGGUCCGCUGAGACGACAAACAGCUACCUCACAAAUCUCCAAGAAGCCUUGGAAAAGAAGAGAAUGACAAGUACCACAAAAAUCCAGGCUCGUAACCUACCAAAAAUUUGUAGAAGCAAGGGGUGAGUACCAAACCACACGGUACUCAGCAAGUAAACUCCUAAACACAAGCUAAGAAAAUAGAAUACGGGUACUCCUUACCACCCCAACCGAACCUCCACAACUACAACCUGCAUAAAACCAGCCCAACCUAACAGUUCACAGUUUACAAAGCACAUAGCUCAACAACAACAGUACUCUAACAAUUUCAUAUCCUCAACAAGAACAUUCUAACCGUUUUAUAUCCUCAACAACAACACUCUAACAACUGCAUAUCUUCAACAACAAGCUCAAUAUUCACCAGUCACAAGUUCCACAGAAAGGCACUCACAAGAUCAGCAACACACAAGAUCAAGUUCACCAAUAAUAAAGAAGUGCAAUGCAAUGUCAAGUAUAGUGAUGCAUGUCUGACCUAAUGAUACACACCCGCUGUCUCUCAGUUCGGGACCCAUAUAUAGGGGACAUAUCUAUUCAUGCAUCCAUCGCGGCGUGCGAUACGUCCCUCGAUAAUAGUAACCAUCGCGGCGCUCUUAUGCACAUAACACUUAUCACAACCAUGUCUCAAAACAAUGCAAAUGACAUGCGUCCUUCUAAAUAUAGUAUCCAUCGCGGCGCACGACACGUCCCUCGAAAUAUAGUAUCCAUCGCGGCGCGCAAUACGUCCCUCGAAAUAUAGUAUCCGUCGCGGCGCGCGACAACUCCCCUACAGAACCCAUAUCCUAGCUCCCUCAACGUCAAACCCUCACGUCCCCUUCUCCCUCUUUCGCGGAAGUCACUGUAUUUUCCAUCCCUUCCACUGUUGCCUCGAAAAGGAACGGGUAGAUUCAAAAUUCAAACGGAUUUUACCCCCCNNNNNNNNNNNNNNNNNNNNNNNNNNNNNNNNNNNNNNNNNNNNNNNNNNNNNNNNNNNNNNNNNNNNNNNNNNNNNNNNNNNNNNNNNNNNNNNNNNNNNNNNNNNNNNNNNNNNNNNNNNUAAUGUGAACAAGUCAACCCAUCACCAAGUCUCAUUACCCCUAAACACAUAUUACAAGGAGAUACAGGAAUUCCAUACACUUAACAAAGGUUUAGAAAUCCAAUUGCCUCAAAUAGUCAAACAAUCACUCUGAGACUUGAAUCUUCCCUUUUGUUGAACUUCCAACUCAAAGCAAUCUAUUCACAUUAAUAAUUACAAUAAGAUUUCAAAAUUAACCACACUCAGAUUACUAUAGGUCUAGCCUAGACCCAAAAACUCACUCAAUUUAUAAUCAAGUUCUUAAUCUUGGUGCCAAUUAACAUGUCAACUCUCAUGUUUUCCGAAUUUCAAGCCUAGGGUAAGUUUCAAUUUCUCCAAAAUAUACAUAAAUUAUAAUGGUAUUCAUAUGAUAUCAUGCACCUAAUAUUUAAUUACAUGUCUCAAUAUCUCAAAGCUUGAAUCAUAUGUGAUAAUUAUAAGAAGGAAUUGGAGAAACGCUAGAAAUCCAAAUUUAUGAACAUCGCGAUUUUGUUCACGAAAAAACCAAUCCAGAACGGUACAUAUUGAUCCAAGUUAUAUUCCUAUAAUUUAUUCCCCAACAAUUAAAUAUUCAAUUAUUGGCCUAUAUCUACCCUAAAAUCAGUAGGUCAUUAUUAACCAUAGCUUCAACUAUCCAUAAUACAUUCUGACCACAUGUUGCAAAACAUAUACUGUAUUCCAAUUCCUUAUCUGCUAACAUAUUAAUACUAAUAUAUAUUAGUAUGAUAUAUUCUCACCAAUUCAUCCUACAACACUUGCCACUAAUCCCCAUAAACAAUUAUCGAUAGCAGGAAGAACUUGCCCUCAAUUUAAUAAGCCGACACGACACCAAGUCUCAAAUCCAAUUCUAUUCAUGCCAAAUACAUAAUAAUAGAAAUAAUAACAUGACUAUCCAUAAUCAUAGUACAAGAUUUUGGUGUGGUGAUGAAUUACCUACAGCAAAGUGGUGUCUUCGUGUUGUUGCCGCACCGUUCAUGGAUUAGCGGUUACUACUUGUGUUAUGAAAAAUAGUAAUAAACCUUUCUAAUGUAAUUCAGUUUACACAUGGACCAAUUAAAAUUUAUUAUUUAAAAAUCACCCAUCCACUAAAUAAUCGUAAUAAACAAAUAGCUCAAAAAUUUUCAAACCAACUCUACCGAUUUAUCAAAAUAAUUGACUCAUGCAAUUAUCAAAAGGGGUAAAAAAUGAUAAUUUAUAUGAUAAUUUCCAAAAACGAUUUUACGGGUCAUUACAUUAUCCACCACUAAAAACCAUGUUCGUCCUCGAACAUAAGGAAGAAGAAGGAAGAAUAACCAACGUUAUCAAAAGCUCAGUUAUGACCUACCAGUCGAUGUUCAUUUUUCCAAGUGAGCUCCUCCUUAAGACCAUUCCAUCAAGAUUACCUACUAAGAACUGAACUUUCAAAUCAAACUUUGGAAAUCUACAAAUCAGGAGUGAUUAUCAAGCCACAGACUAACCCAUGAACCCAAUAUAAACUGAAACCCAUUAGACCUUAACACAACCAUCAUGACGAAUCUAUUCUCACAUAACCAAGAAACAUUUUGAAUCGAUACCAGCUACAACCAGAAGUGAACCUGAACCAACCACCACAUACUCAUAUUGCACAAACCAUCAUAGAUCUUAUAAAGAUUCCCUUGUCACAACAUAAUCUUUCCACGAGCUUAACUAUAAAAGAAUCUGAUUUUAGACAUCAAGUACUAAUCAAGGGAGAAUCAAACUUAUCUAAACCAAAGAAGAACAAGAUCAAGUAACCACUUAGCUAGCAAUACACCCAAGCUAACAGAACCUCUAACAACAUUAGCAAAAUGCUAGAUCAAUAGCUAUUAUUGUAGACAACCUUUAAGAACUGUAGAGCUAGACCCAAUGCUUCCUUCAUUCAAUCACACAUAUUCGAAAUGUGACCUCGAUGACGAGAUGAAUAUUAAGACUAUCAAACAACUGUAAGCAACCAUGGUAGCACUUCUAUGAAUUUUCUUAAGCAAGGUUGUGUGUGUAAAAUCACUAGUAUACUUCAACUAUCCCAACAACACCACCAAAUCUUCCAUAAUUGAAAUGAACAAUUCUAACCAAAGAUACCACCCUACCAAGAGGACAAUCACAAGAUCGGUACACCUGAUCCACCACUAGGGAUUCACCCAUAGAUAUGAAAACACAUGUGGGCAUAUACAACAAAUUAUACUCCAAAUCAUGUCCAAAACAAAGUAGGUGGGUCACAUAAGAAUGUACAAAAUCAAAAUCGAAUAACACAGUAUACUCUCUCCAUAGCACCCAUAUCAAACAUUUCUAUUCAUAUGACUCCAUCUCUUUCUUUAUUUUUUUUAGCCAUCCACAAUCAACUAGUUUGAUCCCCAUUCUAAUCUUACACAUACUUUGAUUUGUCAAACCUCACAUACUUCUCACAGUACUCCAUCGAAGCCAACACUCUUAAUACCAACAAACAUCAUAACCACACCAUUCAUUUACCUUACGCUCAAACUGUCACUAGUAUCAAAGUAUUCUUAGCAAGCACCUUGUAGCUUCCAAAAAUUUCGAACUAAUAUUCAAAAUCAUUAUAUACCUCAUACCCACACUUAAGAAAUUCUUGGUCACUCCAAUAAGUCAGUAUACUAUAAGCUCAUAACCUCUACUCAUUAUCAAAUGCCUACGUAACACAUCAUAACAUUCUACAUCAUCCCAUCAAUAAAGUAGUUUCAAUCCCCUCAAAAUCCUCAUUAACCAUGUAGAACUAUAGGUAUACACCAUAAGGGUAAAAAAUGAUAAUUUAUAUGAUAAUUUCCAAAAACAACUUUACGGGUCAUUACAGAAUCACACAUCUUUUUUAUUGGCAAUCAGAAGAAUAUAUAGGUGGUGAUUAAUUGGCAUUUCAAUUGCUACUUACCUGCCACUCUGUAGAAGUCAUUAUUUAGUUGUGAAAUUACAAAUACACCCUUGGUCGUCCUCCCAUCUCAUUUGGCUGUAUGAAUAUUUUCUUCUUUUAUUAUAUUUUCAAGUGUUAAAUGCUUUUCUUACAAUAUCACUCAUGUUACAUAAGGAAGUUUCUAAGAUUAUUUUCACAAAAUAAAGAAGAAGCAAGGAGCAUGCAUAUAUGCAAAAUAAUGUUGAAGCUACUGGUAAGGGUAGUAUAGAGAAAGCAAGAUUGAAACACCAAGUGGACAAAUAGAACGGAGAAAAAAAGUCUACAUACAAUUGUCUGACACCAUUCCUUUCUGAUUUCUAUUGUAUAGAAAUGUGAUGAGGAUGACGACCAAGGGCAAUUUCAUCAAUUCACUAAAAAUCUCAGUUACUAGAAAAAAUCUGUUACAUCUAAAAAGUGGGACCCAUCUCUCGUAUAAAGUAGAGUACAUUCAAGACCAUUUUAUUUUUUUAUUUUUUUAUUUUUUUAUUUUUUUAUCUUUCCUAAAAUUAAAAUAAAGUCUAAUCUAAUUGAUGUAUUUUGCUAAAAAAUUAUAUAUAUAUAUAUGGUAAAAAAAAAUAGUAUUAAAUUAAUAUUAAAUAAUAAAUAAAAAUAAUUUUGAAUAGAAGUUUUUAAAGAUUGUAAAAAAAAUUAGUAUGAUAAAUAAAAUGUACAAAUGAAGUAAUAAAAGUAAACUAAGAAUGCUCACUAAAUUUUGAAAUAAUAAUUCUUCAAGUAUAGUUUUAAAAUCCUCCAAAUUAAAAUUGAAAAAAAAAUAUUCUUUGAAUCUCAUUUACAAUAGAAUGUUUUUCUCUUUAAGAUUAAUCAAAUUAAAAUUUAAUUAUUAUAGUAUAUGAGCUAUUUUAUUUUUCAAGUUAUCAAUUAACACUUAAUAUUAUUAUUCUUUUGUCUCUAAUAAGAAUCGAAAAAUACAAAUUAAUACAUUAAUCAUGUUUUGAUCAUAUUGGUGAUCAGAAAGAUAAAUUAAUUGAAGUUAAUUAAAAUCUAGGAAAAAGUUGACAAUAAAAAAUGCAUAAUUAUAAUACGGAAAAUUGCAUAAUUUGAAACUAUAUGCAAUCUUUUCAUUAAAUUAAUACAAAUAAUAAAACAAUACAUAUUAUAUUAUAACUAUAUAUUCAUUUUACCAAGAAAAAAUAAAUAAAUAUUGUACCAUGGUAAAACAUUUCUAUUAUCCAUUAAGAUAAACUAUCCACAGACUUUACCAAAAAAAAAAAAAACUAUCCAUAGAAUUUUCUAUAAUUUAAUAUUAGGAAAAGUUUUACCAACGACUCUUUUCACU